rnacentral:lncRNA from 1 species
UUAAGGGAUGUAAAGGACCAUCAUCUACGCUAUGGUUGUUGCCAAGAAGAAGUUCAAAUUCCAUUGGUUCCAUAUUGCAACCUUUGUCAGGUUUACGCUCUUUAAUAAGACUAAACCUCAGUAACUGCAAUUUAUCGGAUGAACCAAACCUUAGCAGUCUUGGCUUCUUAUCAUCGUUGGAAGAGUUAUAUUUAGGUGGGAACGACUUUGUUACUUUGCCUUCAACCAUCAGUCAACUUUCUAACCUAACGUUGUUGGGGUUGGAAAAUUGUAAAAGACUACAAGUACUUCCAGAGCUUCCAUCAAGCAUAUAUUAUAUAUGUGCAGAAAAUUGCACAUCAUUAAAAGAUGUCUCAUAUCAAGUACUUAAGUCACUACUUCCAACUGGCCAACACCAAAAGCGCAAGUUCAUGGUGAGUUCUCUCUAUAUCCUAUAUAUCGUUGCUUUAACUAUUAAAAAGAAAAGGCCUUGUAAUAAGUUGUGUGUUUUAUUUUUGUAAUUCCUGAGAUCUUGUUAAAGUAUGCAUGAGAGAUAUGGAGACAGUUUGUUAUGUUUCCUUUUUUUUUUUUUUUCCUUAUAAAAAGAAAUUAAAAUUUAAGUUGAAAAAAGAAAAGUGUAUUCAAAUAAUACAUAAUUUAGUAAUAGAUGUUGCAUGAAGGAAACCAAACCAACAAUUUCUAUCGAUCAACAUCCUAAUCAUUUUCAUUCUACAGGUUCCCGUUGUGAAACCGGAUACAGCCUUAGCGGUUUUGGAAGCAUCUAAUCCUGGGAUUAGAAUACCACAUAGGGCAAGUUAUCAGAGGAUCGAUCCCGUUGUGAAACUGGGUAUAGCCACAGUGGCUUUAAAAGCAUUUAUUCCUGGGAGUAGAAUACCAGAUUGGAUAAGGUAUCAGAGCUCAGGGAGUGAAGUAAAAGCAGAGCUACCUCCAAAUUGGUUUAAUUCCAACUUCCUGGGUUUUGCUUUUAGUUUUGUCACUUGUGGCCAUUUCUCUUGCCUCUUCAUGUUGAAAGCGGAUGUCUUGUUUGAUUGGACAUCCAGGGACGAUUCUUCCUCCGUUGAUAUCAUUAUUGUCGAAAUGAUUUCCUUUAAGAGAAGGUUGGAGACGGAUCACGUGUGCCUGUGUUAUGUACCACUUCCCCAGUUGCGGAAUUGCUCUCAAGUGACUCACAUCAAGGUAUCAUUUAUGGCAGUCUCCAGGGAGGGUGAGAUUGAAAUUAAGAGGUGUGGGGUUGGUGUAGUGUACAGUAAUGAAGAUGGGAAUCACAACAAUCCCCCAAUGAUCCGAUUCAACUCUAUCUCCUCUCCUCCUCCUCCUCCUCGUAGUAAGUCAACCGUUGUCCUUGAAGAAAUCCAUGAGGAGGAACCUAGUGGAAAUGGGUGCUCUAAUGUUGAUGGCUCAGAAGAAGUGAGGAGGAACCUAGAACUGCUACUGUCUGCUCUGAGGAUCGGUCUGAAUCAGAUAUUCGGCCACAGAAAUGCUUGAAAUGCAGGCAUUAAUGAGGACAUCCCGUGAUCAGGAGAAACAGACCAGAUAAAUGCUUAAUAUGCACCCAAACCUUCCCAUAACAUCUCUUGGUGGGUUGUGUGUUUCUUUUCUUUUAUUUUCUUUUCUGCUGUUCUUUCUUAUCUGAUUUUGAGUAGAUGUCUUAAUUAAGACCAGUUAGAACUGUUUAAAGCAAGAAUUAAAAGAUCCGGUCAUACUGUUCGAAAUUAGAUUUGCUUAGAAUUACUCUCCCAUCAAUUCCUGAAACAAUUUGAUGAAUAAGUGAUAUUGUUUCUCACACAUCUUCAAUUUCAUGUGUUAAGACACAAAUGAUUGCAUAUCACUAGAAUCAUUGUGGAGUCCAUUUGUAUUUAUGCAUUCUCCUUCACUAAUCAUGGCGACUAAUCACAGAGUCCCCAGGUCUGUCUCUAGGUUGAUCAUCUUCAGUAGACAUACCAAUGCCUCCAUAUUGCUUUUGCAGUGGGUAAUGCAAUGCAAUUAACUGGGGUGAUGUAUUGACGAGGGGAUUAUUCUAGUGAAGGUGGAGGAGCAGAAGCGGAGGCACGAGGAGAAUAGAGAAAAGGUCUUGUAACAGAACCCAAUCUUCCAGAAUCUAAUUAUUGUUGCAUUGUUUUUCUUCAUUCUACGUAACUAAAGGAUUCACAGUACUCUAAAUUGUUAGAUUCUUCACUAGAUACAUUUGUCACAGGUUUCACUACUAUGUGAAGUAUCAGUUGCCAUGCAGCCAAGUGACUGCAUGCUUCAAAUUAAACCUCAGCAGAACCCUGACCACCCUUACAUUUGAUUGCAUUCCUUUUACUGUCUCUACCUUGCAUCGUACUUCACAAGUCUACAUUUGAUCUCACACUCUCUUGCUUGGCCUCACUUCUAUUUGGUUAUAAUUUAAAUAUGGCAUUUCUUGUCUGACUUCCUUUCUCCAUUGUAGAACUGUUGAUUUUAAGUAGGUCAUAAGUAAAUUUGAGUCAUUGCCUUGUUUUUUGAGUUGAUUUCUAUGCGUCACCAUGCAACUUGUUGCUUUUUUUUUUUUUUAAAAUUUUUUUUUUCACAUGUUGUUAGUAUGCUUAAGAAUGAUUAUAAGUAAGAAUUUAGAAUUAAAAGAAAAAAAAAAGAACUAGUGAGAAAAUAGAAAAAAGUGGGAGUCAGUUGUGGUAGUGAAUUUGACAAAAAGUUAAAAUUGGAGUAUGUUUAUGCUUGAAAGGGAAAUUUGGUAUCAGCAUCCAACAAUGCUUGUAAUAUUAUUUGUUAGUAAAUUAACUAACAUGGUGUUUUAAUAUAUUUUCUGUUUUUUAUUUUAAAAAAGAAAAUAGUAGAAAAUUUUGAAAGCAAUUUUAAAUUUUUUAUAUUUUAUACUAGAAACCUUAUAUUUUUAUAGGAGGGAUAUUCCAAUUUUUUUUUAACUAUAAUAAUAAUAAUUUCAAUAUAAAAUAUAGAAACUUUCAUAUUGAAAGAUAAUAGUUUUCAAAAAUUAUUUAAAAGAAUAUAAAUAUGAAUUACCUCAAAUAAUAGGGAAGUUUAUUUUUAUAAGAGUUUAGUUACUAAUAUUUUAUUUUUUAAAAUAAAAAAUAAGAAAAUAAUUCAAACCAUACUUAAAAUUUCAAAAUAUACUAACCAACAACAUCAAUAGAAACCAUGCAAUAUAGACUUCUUUCAUGUACCUAUGAUGGCUAGUUGGUUCUUUCUCCAACCACCCCCAACCUCUCUUUCCUUUGCACAACCAAGCCUCAUUGAACUUUGACUAAAUUAAUGGGAAGCACUUUGUCAAGCUUAUUUUUUAUACAUGGCAUAGAAAGAUCCAUUGUUGUGUGUAGUGGUUCAAUAAGUUUCUUAAUGAGGCUUUUUAUCAAGCGAUUUGCUUUCUAUAAAUUAUAUCAAUUUUUUUAAUAUAAUUAAGAAAACAAAGUUUGAAAAAAUGUAAUAAAAUAAACUAUGCAAGAUAAAUGAGACAGAAUAAGUAUGACAAAUUCUCAAAUUUGUUCUAUUUAACUUUUUAAAUAAGGUAAAGACAGAGAGCUAACUCACCUUAAAUCCACCCAAUUACAUCUCUACCAAGGAGUAACAUAAUAAUAAUAUUUGAUGAAAUUAAUAAUAAUAAAAAAUACUAUCAGGAUAAUAACAUUAAUACCAAUAUUAAUAUAAAAUUAAUAAUAUUCAUAUUAUAAGCACCAAUGAUAAUAGUAAUAAUUUUGGUAUUUUCUAUAUAUCAAUGAGUCAAAUAUCAUUGACUUUAAUUAUAUAAUAAGUUAAAAGUGGACUUUGACCUAAUUAUAUAGAAAGUUUAGGGCUUAUAAGCAUAAUUGUCUUCUUUUUUAACAAACUUUUUUUUUUAGCGACUUUGGCAUGAAAAAUAAAAUUAUUAAAGGAUUUGGUGUAAGACUGUCAAAUGAAUCCUUUUUUGUGAUAUGUUUCUUUGUCUUUAGCAUCAAUUGAACUAAUGUCUAUUUAAAUUGACAUUUGAGAAGUCAAAAUCUCCCUUUUAAACUUAAUAGAAGUUUAUAUGCUUUUUUGGCAAAUUGGUAGAAUUGUUGAUUGCUUUUGUGUCGUACACUCAAAAUUUUUUACGAGUUCAUUUAAACACCACCUGGAGUUAGCAUAAUUUGUCGAGAAAAUAAUAAUGAAAAUCUUUGAUUCUUCAAUGGCUCUCAAAAGAUCUGAUGCAAUAUCUCCUCCUUUCUCAAGUUCUUCAUCAUCUCUGAAAGAAUGAACUCCAUAUGCAACUAAAGUUGUAUAGAGAUGAUCGGUGAAAUUUUUGCGAGUGUCUUCACCUCUAAAACUUAUAAACACAUCAUAACUAUGAGGAGUAGAAGUAGAAGAAGAGGCUUUCUGGGUGCUGGUAGAGGCCAUUUUGGAUUGUUUGUGCUGCACCUGCAAAAGUCUGGGAAAGAGAGAGAGAGAAGGUCUUUGGCAGUGAUUGAAAUGUCGAUUUUUAUCCUUGAAAUUUCGCCGAUAUUUCAGUCAUCGGUGAAACUCGAUACGACAUUGAGGGCCGAUAACCGGUUGGAAGGAAUUUCGCUCAAGUAUCACGAGUGUUGGAAGUAGUGUUGGUAACAACUUAAAGAGCACUUGAGCAGCCUUACUGCUUGAAGCGACACUGGAUGUAACUUAUAGCACUUAAGUGAUAGGUGCGAAGGAAAGGAGCACUUGAGCGCUGGUGACAACACUCAAGCAUUCAAAGCAGAACAGAAGCAACCAAGUUUAAAUGAGAAACCUUUCAAGGAGCUUAGAAUCCCAAAAACAAAUCAAAAUAGAAUAUAUAUAUAUGUGUGUGUGUGUUUCAAAAUAUCAUAGGGUAUAAUGAUAGUGCAGAAACUUGUAAAAUUAGAUUGAAAAGUAAUAUAUCAAGUAAAAUGGCUAGAUAAUAUAGAUUAAUAAAACAAGAAUGAAGUUUUAGCUCCAAAGAACAAAGUUAAUCCCAAUUUUAGUUUAGAAACUCAAUGUAUAAUUGUCAAUGUAUAAGAUGAUCAACAUAUAAACAUAAGUAUUGACAUUCAAGGGAAUACGACUUAAUGUCUAGUUUUAUAUUUCGAAAUUGAUCUCUUUGAAGAAAUCAAGUCUUGUCUUUAGUCAAAUUAAAAUCAUAUCCAGUCAAUUUGUUCUAAGACCAUUGGACUUCUAUUUAACAUAGUCUUGUUAAUAUAUAAACAACACAACUUAACUUCCCUUUAAUUUGAUAUCAUCUUUUUUUCUUUUGAAAGUGGAUGCAUCAUAUACCAUGAUCACAUUUGGUUUUUCUUUAUUUUAUUCACGGUUGCCUUUAUAUCCACUUUAGGGGUGUUUCCAAAUGUUGUAAGUGAAUAGCAUAAAUUUAAUGAACGAAUCUUAGAAAGUAUAUAAGAGUUGAACUUGGCCAAGGAUUCAAAUUUUGCACUGACUCACUUUGAAAAACAAUAUAAUAAUAUUAGUCAAACAAGGUAUGUGGACAAUAAAAUUUAGGCAUGACAAUUGAUCCUUCCAAAGAAACCAAAGUCUACUUUAUUAGGUAAACUUAAGAAGUCUUCCUCUUAAUCAAUCACAAAGAUUAAUUAUCAAGAAUCAUGGGCCUCAAUAGUGAUGAACAAAUAUCUAAGGAAAAUUAACAUCAUAUCUUGUACAUUUAAUAUAUUUCAUUAGGUCAUAAAUUUGAGAUAUUACAUAUCAUCCUAAUAAGGCAAGUAAGUAAACAAUAAUCAUGUGCUUAAAGAUGAUAUAAAUAAGGCCAAAGGAAACAAAACCAAAAAAUAGACAAUAAGAAACAAACCUUUGAAGCCUAUCAAAAAAGAUCUUAAUCGAUCAAGCACAUGCCUAAAGAUUUCCUAAGAAAUUCAAACCUAAGAGAAUCCAAGGGUUUAGUAAAGAUAUUUGUCAAUUGAUGUUCAGUGGGGACAAACUCCAGAGAAACAACCUUAUUUUCAACUAAAUCCCUAAUAAAGUGAUGACGAAUUUCAAUAUGUUUAGUAUGAGAAUGAAGAAUGAAGAAUAACUUGAAUUUAAACAAUAAACAACCUUAGACGGAAUGUUUAUUUUUUAUAUAUAUCAUGAUGUUUAACUUUCAUAUCUUAUUAUUUUCAUAUACUACAUGCAAUGUUUAUGGAUCUCAAGCCUCUUAUUUGUUUAUACAUAAAAUUAUAUGGGUUUAGCACUAAUGAAUUGAUAAAACCUUACAUGAUUGUGUCAUAAAUUAUGCAAAUUAUGCAACAUUAGCCUGAAACUAAUGUCAAUACAAUGUCAAGGCUCAAAAACUUGAUUAAAAGGUCUCAAAAAGUUACUAUUUUAUUAUUAGAUAGAACAAAAUUCUACAUGAAUAAUGCUUAAGAUGCCUAAAGAAUCAAUAAAGAUAUCAGUUCUAGUGGAUAUCAUAUUAUAAUUAUGAUGAAUUAGAAGUUCCUUGAAAUAAAUUAGUAUAUGUUUUUUAAUGACCAACUUGGUCUCCUAGGAUUGACAAUAGUUGUCCUUGAAAAAUGGGUAUUACUUUAAUACCACUUGAAUAAUAACCAAAAGUCCACUAAAAAAUGCCCAGAGAGGGGUGAAUAGGAGAUUUUAAAAAUUAUAAAUAAAUUAUGUCUAAACUUUAUUUUAAGAGAUAUCAGGGAUGUCUUGGAUAAUCAAAUAUGAGUUCACUAUAAAUAAAUGUAUGAUUUUUAUGGUUAAUUGAUAUCCAAAGAUUAUUCAGGGAUAAAAUAAUAUAAUUAUCAAUAUCGGAGAUAGAUAUUGAGAUAGGUUAGGAAUGAUAAUAACCAACAAAAUAACCAACCUCACAAACUCAAUAACAUUCUCAACAAACCAAACAAAUUAUAUAUUAAAUGAAGUUAGGAAUAACAAUAAUUUGUUAUAGGUAUAGCCACUAUAACCACCAAUAUAACCAACCUAACAACUCAACAGUCAACUAACCAAUCAAUCAUAAGGGUAUCUCAUUAACAACCUAACUAAUCAAUUCAAGAUAAUCAACAUUAUCAACCAGAAUAUAACUAGGAAUAAAUAGAUAUGCACUUUUUAGGAAAACCCUACAAUAUAUUAGGAUUAAUCAAAUUAACAUAUUUUAGGCAAUUCAAACAUAAUGUCAAAUAUAAAGAUAUAGACAAUGGGGUACAAGAUUUUUACGUGGAAAACCCUUACAAACUUGUGAAGAUAAAAAACCACAAGGUCUAAGACCUAUAAAUUAAUCUAAAUCCACUAUUUGAAAUCAAGUUACACAAAUUUACCUAGCCUUUUUACCCUAAAGACUUACUUUUCAAAGCUUACAACUUGAUCCACAUCCACGAUGCAACAACUCCCUGUUGCUCCCUAGUAGAUCCUUUGGCUACUCCUAAGGGAUUAAGGUUUUCAACCAACAAUUCAAAUAUCCAAGUCCUUGAAUGAGAUAUUAGGAAUGAUGUGACAAUUAAGCUUUCUUCACAAGGAGUCCCUCUUUAAAGAAUAAGAGGUUUCCCAAACUCUAAGAUCUCUACGAUCUCAACAAUCUCCAAUCUCUAUGAUCUCCAAUCGCUAACCCUCAAUGGGUUAUAAAGGAGGUAUUUAUAGGCAAAAAUCAUAAGAGUUUCGGUAUCUAAAGUUUCCAAAUUAAAGUUCAAAUAAAAUUCAUCCAAAAUAUGUUUCUAAACUCGAUAGGACUAAUAUAACCAUUUGAGUGGACUUGGACCACUUGAGCGAUCCUUACUACUUGAGUGGGUUGACCACUUGAGCGGUCUCUGCUUCUUAAAAAAUCAUUUAAAAAACAUUUUAAGUCCAAAAAUGACACUGGACCUCCUUAGUGAUUGAAAAAUAGGGAGGAAGUGGUACCUCCUUAGUGACACGGAGUCUGAGUCAUAUAGGAGAAACCACAUGUUUCAAAAAAAAAAAACAAAAGAGUUAGUGAGUAGAGGAAAUAGAAAAAUGCCAAGUUUAAACAAAAAAUGAUGUCUAUAUAUGAUGUAUCAUCAGUAAUACAUCCAAUCCCAUAGUAUAAAACAUCAACACAUGGAAUUAUGUAUAAUAUAUAAAGACAAAAAGUAAAGAGAUGAUCAAGUAAUGGUAGGGUCCUUUGGAGCUGAUGCAUCUGUGGUGGCCUCUUGAGUGGGUUGGAUCAGGACUUUAACCUCUGUUCUGAUAAUCUCCUUAGGUGGCAUAGUCUCCUCAACUGGAGCUAUGGGCUUUGAUGGUUUUAAGGAGGUCUGAAAUGGAGUGAGAGGCUUCGUGUGUGAUCUCAGUGAGAGGGCUCUCCUCUUUAGAUGCAUGGUUGCGUGGUUUGUCUUCAAACGGCCAUAACUUUUUCGUUUCAACUCCAAAUCGUGCACCGUUUAAAGCAUUGGACUCCUGACUUCCCAAGAUUUGAAAUGACAUAUGGUAUGCACAAUUUGAGCUCCAGGAAGUUCUUCAAAAAUGUGUCCAACAGUAGCGAAAUGCAACAUUUCCGUUCUGAUUUUGAUCAUCCAAAAACCUAUAUUACAUCAAAACAAAUUAGAAUUAAAGCAUUGAAAUCAAAAUUAAAACAAGUAAUAAACAAAACAAAAAGAUAUGGAUUAGCUAGUCUUUAAAAAGACUAAGUCCAUUAAAAAAUUUGAUCCUGAUUUAGCUUGCCCGGAUCCCAUAUGAAGUUUGCAUCCCUCACUUGAGACUUGGUUUGUAUGAUUUUUCCAUACAAAGCUUGGGGGAAAGGUGGAGGGAUGUAAUUCUUCAUAAUUUCUUCCUUGAUGACUAUCCUUUGUGGUUUUCCUUGUAUAUUAACAUCAUAGCCAUCUUUCUCUAUCCUUUUCCCCUUUUUCUUUCCUUUGAUUUCCUCCCUCUUUUAUUUCUCUGUUUCACUCUCUACCUCAUGCUCUAGCUUGGAUGUGGGUAGAUCAACCUCUUUACCACUCCUCAAAGUGAUAACCGUUUUAACUUCCUUCACCAUUGAAGAUUCUCCCUUUUGAGUCUCCACUUCAUGGAUACCCUUGGAAUUUUGAUGAGGUUGAGAAGGAAAGUUUCCUUUUUCUUGCACUUUGUUGAGGUUGGCAAACCAUGAGAUUGAAUAUUGGAGGUUAUCUAUCUUUUGAGAUAAAUCAUUUUGCACUCCAUCCAUCUUUUUGUUCAAUGAACUCUCUACACUGUCAAUUCUUUGACUGAGUUGAGAGUUGAUGGAUUUUUGUUCUCCAAUAAAAUCUCCCACAACCUUGCUGAGAUUCAUUAUAGCUUGAUGAAGUUUCGAGGCUUGCUGAGGUGCUUGAGCAGGUUGCUGGUACCGAGGUGGCUGUGGUUUCCAAGAGAAAUUUGGAUGGUCCCUCCAAUUGGAAUUGUAGGUGUUGCAAUCACCAAACAUUUCUCUCACCAUUGGAAUGGUAGGACACUGAUCCACCAAGUGCUCAAAAGAUCGACAAAUGGAACAAGGCAUAGGUUGCAAUGGUGUCUGAGAGAUGGCUUGCACUUCUUGCAUCUUCUUCAUUUCUAGCUCUUCCAAUCUCCUUGCCAUAGCUGCAAUCUUUGCCUUCAUGUCUAUGCCGUCAUUCAAAAUAUACAUCUCAGCCUUAGUAUUAGGUUGAGACAUCGUUCUUCCCAUAUUUCGAGCAUUCGGUUUAUCCCAUCCUCUUGAAACUUCAGCCACAUAUCUCAUGAAGUUCAUGGCUUCCUAUGCUAUCUCGUAUUCAAUAUGGCAUGCACAACUAGCAAUUUAUGAAUUAAAAACAGAGAAAAUAAAAGAAAACAAAAGAAAAACAAUUCUAAGAAAAAAAAUUAAGGUAAACUAAAAACUAAAUAAAAAGUAUACUAAAAUAUGAACAAAGAAAAAGAAACAAAUAAAAAGAGUUAGUAAAAAGAAAAGAAAAGUCACCAAACUUGUGAUGAAGAUCACAAGUACUCUGAAAAGGUCAUAUCACUGUAAAGUGGUACCAUCCCCGGCAGCAGCGCCAUUUGAUUCUUUCCCAAUUGGUGUCUCAGCUGAUUCAUGUCCUCUCAAUGGUCCCUGACAGUGGUGCCAUUUGAUUCAUGUCCAGUUGGUGUCCCUUGAUUGUGGUCCUCAGGGAGUAAUCAACAAAAUUUAUAACCUAUUACACCAUGUACUAGGAUAGCCUUAGCUAGCAUAGCAUAGUGGCUCUAGGGUCGUUCACUGGGAUGGGUUUUCACUCUACAAUUGAUAUUAAUUCAAAGUUGAAUUGGUGCCUUUUCAUUUUAAGGUUAGCUUUAAAAGAAAACAUAAAGAUGUUUAAAUGAAAAAGGUUUGGUUUUAAACUAACCAAAAAUAGUAACUGAUUUUACUUACAAAGAAAAGUGUUUCUUGGAGUUUAGAUCACUGGGCUCAGAUUCCUUGUACAAAAAGGGAGUUUCGGUCACUUGUUUCUUUCCCUUGCAUUAGAGAAUUAACAUAUAGUUAAUUCUCUAACCGGUGUGGUACAGAUGUUUCCCUUUAAUGGGUUCAAACACUAAAUCCCUCUCACUGAUGCAAUUUGCAAUGGCUCGUGCCUCUCACCUAGCAUUUGCCAUUCAAGGUGAUCUUUAACCUUGGAUUACCCAUCAAAAGCUCGCAAAAGAUAACUAAUGGAUGUCUCCUUGGAGUCCAAAAGCUUACCAAGUGUUGGCUAUUCUAGAAAAUCCUACCUUCGAGUCACUUCCUAAAAGCUCGCAAGAGGUAAACUAGUGCAUUUCCAUGGACGGAGAUCACUGGCCUUACCAAGUGUUGGCUUAAGUAACUUGAAGGCGUUUUAAGUUAACUAAAAAGAUAAAAACCAUUAUCGGGUCACACUUUCUCUUCAUUAAAAACUAAAACAACAAAACUUCCAAUUUAUGCAUGAGGAACUUACCCGGCUUUCUUCAAUCCAAGAGACGAAGAGCCUAGCCUCUCAACCUCUGAGGAAAAAUCCUCAGAGUUUGAUUGGCUAGAAAUAAGAAGAACGAGAAAACAAAAAUAGGAAAAACAAAGCAAGUGCUCCCUUUGUCAAUUUCACAUAUAUUAUCUAUAUAUCUAUCUAUGUUCUUUACAUUGGUUCAAAGAUAUAUAUAGAGAAGAUAUUUUCUAAGAAAUAUCCCAGUAAUAUCUUUGACUGAUUACAAGGAGAAAAUAGAAAUUUACACAAAAUAUCUUGAGAGAAAAAAUCUAACUUAGUCGGUGGCAAAUAUCGGGAAGCUUCAAGAGAACACUGCGGCACUGUGCAAAAAUCUGGGUAAUCUGAAAUGUCGGCCGCGGAUGCUCUCCGGGUGAGUGCUAUCAGAGGAUCUGGAUAUGUCUGACCGGGGAAUUUGAAACGUCUUCCUCUCCCAUCCGGAUGUGAGAUAUCCCACGCCGCAAGGCUAUCCGGAUUCCCCAAGCGGAAAGGCAACGCAAUGCUAUCCGGAUCCCCUCAGGGUUCUACACACGACACUCGUAAUAAUCACACCCGGACGAUAGCAUAUCCUAUCCGGAUAUGUUGUCCGAAUGGAAAACAUUGACUAAAGUGAGCAAGCCUUGCUACUUCAUUCCGAAAGCCUACCACAGCUCACGUUCCGCCGCCCUCCGAUGGUGUGUCCGGACGCCCUGUCCGGACAUCUUUUGCCAAGGAUUCCAAAGAAUCUCUCCUCAAUCUUGGAUUGCUUUGGUGAUCAAAAAGCUAUCAAAACACCAAAACUUAACACAAUUUGAUUAGAAUUGAUUGCAAGGGUCCUUAAUAUGUUAAUUGGGUUAAAAGGUGAUAACUAUUACUCAAAAGUGUUUAUAAGAGUUAAUUACAAGCUAUGAAAUAACACUUUUUGAGUAGUAAUCAAAAAGCCCUUGAAUAAAUAGCAUAGGUACAACAUUCCCUAAAAAGGAAGAUGGUUCAAAAAAGGCAAUAACCCCCUGAAAACUAAAAAUAGCGAGAUCUCCAUAGGUCAUAUAAAAUGGAAACAAAAUAAGGUCUUUUUUCCAAAGUAACUUAACGUCAUUAAAAAUGACGAGGAUCUCAACUGAAAAAAAAUGGUAUAAAUCUAUUAAUCAAAGUGGAAACAAGUAAUCCAAAUAGAUCUAAACUCAUUAACAAAAUGAGAAACAUUAAGACCUAAAGUCUAAUGCAUGAAGAUAUAUGAAGAUAUAAAAAUAAGAGAAUCUGAAGUCUAAAUCCUAUUGAAUAAAUGAGUAUUUGUAUUAAAAUGCUAUAAAAAAAAAUGAGAUCAUGAGACAUUAAAUAUUACUUUUAGCAUGAAGUUUAUAGAAGUAACCAUAUAUCAACUCUCAUAAUAACUCAAUUAUGUAGUAUUCCUAGAAAUACAUAAUACAGAUUUUCUAAAUGUAGCUAUAACUUAUUUAUAUGGACUCAUAAAUAUUAAUAUACAUAUAAAUCCUUGAGGGAUUUUGAAUGUUUGAGAAAAUAAUUUAAAAUCUCAAGUGUGAAAUUCCUAAAGAAUUUAAAAUGCUUGAAUUAAAUUAUUUAAAACCUCAUAGUAUGUAUUUAAUCAAGCUAUAAUGCUUCUUAUAUGGAUUAAAGCAAUUUGGAUGUAUGUGGUACAAUCGCCUUAGCAAAUAUCUUUUAAAAGAAGGGUGUAUGAAUAACCUUAUAUGUCUAUUCAUUUUCAUUAAGAGAUCAAAAAUUAGAUUUGCAAUUAUUGUAAUGUAUGUUGAUAAGCUUAAAAAACUCAUAAAAACUGCUAAUUAUUUGAAGGGAGAAUUUAAAUUGAAAGAUUUAAGGAAAACAAAAUCUAUCUUGCCUUGUAGAUCGAGCAUCUUUCAAAUAGAGUGUUGAUCCAUCAAUCGACGUAUAUAGAAAAGAGUCUUUUAGCAUUUUCUUAUGGACAAAUCACAUCCAUUAAAUUCUUCAAUGGUAGGUAGCUCACUAGAAGGGGAAAAAAAAUUGACAUGGGUUUAUUUUAUUCAAAAGGAUUAGAGUCUCAAUUGCUUGGCUUUAGGGAUGCUAACUAUUUUUUUGAAUCCUCACAAAACUUGAUCUUGGACAUGGUAUGUAUUUACCUACGAUUAAUAAUAUCAUAAAAAUCAGUUAAACAAACAAUGACAAUCGCCUCUUUAAAUCAUUCAAAAAUAAUAGUAAUCCAUGAAGUAAGUCAUUUUAUACUCAUAUUAGAGAGUAAUGUGGACCAUUCCUCAUCAAAGAUAAUCUGACCAAGUUACAUGAAGACAAUGUUGCUUAUAUUACACAACUUAAAUGAGGAUGUAUAAAGGGUGACAAAGCUAAGCAUAUUUCCCCUAAGUCCUUUUAUACUCAUGGGCUCUAAGAAAAUGGUGAAAUUCUUGUUCAAAAGAUUCGAUCAUAUGAUAAUCAAAUAGAUUUAUUUACAAAAGCAUUACCAUCUACUACUUUGAACAAGUUAAGAUGUAACACUGGGAUGCAGAGAGUGAGAGAUCUAUAAAUUGAAGCAUUGAAAAAAGUAUGAUCAUGUCUACAUUAGGGUGGGGGGGAUAUUAAUGUCCAUACACUGUACUCUUUUUCCUUUGUCCAAAUUUUAUCUCACUUGGUUUUAUUGACAAGGUAUUUCAUGAGGCAUUGUUAAGAUCAAAUUAUUUACAAGAAAAUAUUACUUUUUUUUUUCCUUCACUAGGAUUUUCCUAUUACUUUGUUUUCCUAGUAAGGUUUUAAUAAGGCAUAUUCUUUGAUCAUUUAAAGGGGAGUAUUAUGAUUUAUAGGAUUUGGUACAAGAAUUUGUUAGGAUGGAUGAUCAUAUGUUCCUUGAUAUUUCUUAACUAUUGUUGUUUGCCUUCUCCUAAUUUCCUAUAAAAGGAGAGUUCUACUACUAAAAUUACACAGAGUUUGAUUCUCACUAUCUCUUCUUCUAUUUGUUCUCCUAUUAUUUUCUUUUUUUAUAACAUUUUUAACUUUUAUGUACUUGGAGAAAUAUGCAAGGUAGUAGUAGUACAUUUUUUAGUAUGUCUUAUGGUUUUAUUCUAUGUGUACUAACAUUUUUUUCUUUAUUAUUCAAAUAAUUUAAAAUAUCUUUUUCAUUGUUUCAUUAGUGUAAAACUCUUACUCUCACUUUUGGACAUGCUUUGGCAAUACGUUUAAUUUUAUUUCAAUUUAAUAUUCAAUCUAAUAUGUUCAAUAUUAUCCUCAACUUAAAUAUUUACUAAAAAUUUAAAAAUUCUAUGUUAUAUUUAGUAUACAAGAACACAAGAAGUUAGUUACAUGGAUAGCACAAUAUGACCCAUUCAACUUCACAAAUGGGUUAAGUCAAAUUACAUAUUAAUUGAUAAACUUGUUAACACAAUUCUAACCUGAAAAACCUAUUAACGUGAUUCUAACAAGAUGAACUUGUAAACACUGUUCUAAUUCAUUGAACAUUUAAAAUUUUAAAUUUCUAAAUGCAUUAUUUUAAAAUACCUUUUAUUUUCAGUUUUAACUUUUUAUAACCUUAAUUAAUUUAAUUAUUGAAUUUUAAUUAUAAUAUAUUUAUAAUGUAGAAGUAUAUUUAGAUUUUAAUUUUACACUUGUUUAUAAAUUUAUUUAAUGUUUUAAUUAUAAAAUAUUUUUUAAUCUUUAUAAUGAAAUAUAAAUUUUUUUUACUUAGAUUGUUAUUUACUUUUUUUAACUAUCAAAUAUUUAUAAUUAAAAAAAGAUAUUUUUAAUUUAAAUUAAUAAAUUUAUAUGAGUUAAAUGGGUCAUAAUUGGGUCAUUUUUAACACGAUUAAGCAAAAGAGGUUUAAUAGUUGGAUGGAUUGAUUGCUCAAACUUGAACAUGAUUAAUUAAUUAAAUAGGUUAGACAGGUUGAAUAGUUAAACUUAAAUAUGACUCAUUCAUUAAAUGAGUGACAAGGGUGAACAUGAGCACGAUUACACUCAAGAAAAACACCCGUUGGAUGAGAUUCAAGUGCCUCCAACUCGUAUGGGAAGCCAUGCAGGAGAUAUGUGUGAACCUCGUUCGGCAACCAAUCAUCAACCCUCCAACCCAACGAUACACUCGAAGCUCAACUUGCUAAGUACCAAGCACAGUUGGAAGAGCUAAGGGAGGCUACCAAUAGGCUCCGAAGCAAAAAUGAGGAAAUUGUGUGUACCCUAAUCGGAAGUAUCGGUCCAACAAGCCCGAAUAAAAACAUUCAGUCACUUAUUUGUGUUCGAGAAGGACUAUUCAAUCAAACAUAAUUGGAAACAAGGUUUAAAAUAUUCGAAUAUUUUAUCGAUAUUUUACUGAAUUUUCAAAUUUUCAUGUUUUAAUAUUUCAUUGAUAUUUUCAAACAUUUUAUCAAUAUUUCAUUGAUUUUUUUAUUAUUAAAUAAAUAAAUUAUAAUUAUUUUAUUUCUACAUUUGAUUUAAUUUAUUACCAAAAAUAUAAAAACAUAAUUUUCUUAAUAUGUCUUUUCUAUAUAAUCUAUAUAUUUAUUAAAUAUAAUAAAUAUAACUAUUGAAAAAAUUAUACAUAUAUUAUUGUUUAUUUGAUAUCAUUGAAACAUUUAAAUUAAAAUGGAUGAUAAUUUUAAUAUUAAAUAUAUUUUAAAAUUAAACAUAUUAUCAUAAUAAUAUUAUAAAAUAAUCUAUAAUAUAACUUAAUAAUAAAUGUACACUUCUAAAAUUUAUAUUUUUUAUCAAAAAAUAUUAUUAUCAAAUAUAACAAAUUAUAUAAUUAAUUAAUUAAUUAAUUAUUAUUAUUUUUAAAAUAACUUUAAAAUAUUUAUUUUUAUUUCUUAUAUAAUUUUUAAAUAUUUUUUUAAAUAUUUUUAGAAUUUUCAUUAAUUUAUUUAUCAUCGAUAUUUUUUAUAUAUCUUCGAUUUAUUUGAUAUAUUCGUAAAAUGAAAUACCCUUUCAUCUAUUGGAAAAGGGCCUCAUGGAAGAACCUUAGGAGCCAUCACAUCUGACACAAAUCAUAUCUGGCACCAUGGCUCGGAUAAAUCUUGAUGGAAACCUCGCACUUCAGAACUUUUGGGCAUAAACCUCGAAGGCUAAUAGGACAGCAUAUGCAGAGUAUGAGGUACGGCUCCCAAAGCGAAAAGACAUAACCAGUAGAGUAUUUUCCGAGGGAAGCAACAUGCACCGCCUAACACACACCACCUCGAUCAAUAGCAAGCAUUGUGAAGUUCCUUAAGUUUGGCUUGACAAGAGCUCAUUCCUAAGAAAAAGUUGACUCCAUGACCACCAAUCAGGGCACGCCCAAGAGAAACUAUAAAUCCUGACAAAGGAUGAGCAAGAGGGGCAGAAAAACAUGGAGAGAAAAACAUACUGAAGGGUAAGGAAUCAAGAAUUUGAGAAAAUUGGUGGCUAUCUUGGAUCAACCAUAAGAAAGUGGUCGCUAGUCUACAUUGGGGCAACCCCAAUCCUUGAAGUAGUCGAGCACCAACAAAAAUGGUUGCAUAAAUCAAUGCAGCAGCGCAAAUGCACUCAAGUGUAGUAAAGAUCGAUCACCAGCCAGUAAAGAAACCCUGCCAGCUCUCCAAUGGAUCACAUUAUCUGGGACAAACAACAAUUGUAGAUAUUAAUGACCAUGAUUCAUAUUGGGAAGAGGAAGGCGCAACCCACUCGCAAUGGGUAGGGCCUGAUCUGAGUAAGGCUACCAAUCCUGCACUAGAAAAGAACUGAGUAUAUCAUUCCCUAGGAUGCACCCAUGUGUCUAGCAAGUUGGGUGCAAUGAUUUCGGGAAUCUCACCUCGGUCGAAGCCCCUUGUCUGGGCACUGAUAAGAAUGACAUCUUGGCUUCUUAAUGACAUGUUGUCCACCUCACUCUUAGAUCGAAUUUUGAAGCAUGGUCAUCCACUAGGGUUCGUUGUGCUGAAGUUUACAAUGUAUGACGACACCUUUGAUCCGUUUGACCACUUAAUGCACUACUAACAAGUCAUAACCUUGGAUAUCGACAACCAUCUACUACUAUGCAAAGUCUUUCCGGGGAGUCCUCAUGGAUCGACUUCCUCCUAACUCUAUCUGUUGUUUCCAUGAGUUAUCAGAUGUUUUUAUGGCUCAUUAUCUUUGUUCCGCCCGCCAGUAUCAAGGGCUCGAUAGUCUUAACAACCUUAAGAUGAUGGAAUAUGAAACAUUGCGUGAUUUUAUGAAGAGGUUUGGGCAGACAGUGACAUAAAUAAAGACUUGCAACAUGGAGGCGAUAAUGUAGGUAUUCAAAAGAAGCUUCGUGCCGAGAACAUCUUUCUUCAAGUCCAUUUCGAAGAAACCACCGGAGACCAUGGAUGGCUUUCAAAAAAAUAACAAGUAUGCCAUGUUGGAAGACAUUUUGUGCACCGCAUUGUAGAAGAUUGUGGCAACCUCUCAUGCUCCCUUGAUCUGGAAAAAUGAUUUGUUUAGUGUUAAGAUGGAAGGAAAGUGCUAGAUGGGCCGGGAGCCUCCAAACGGCAAGAGAACUAAAAUAAGAGAGUCAAGCGGCCGCCCUACCCCAUAAUUCACAAAGCUUACUCUCGGCUAUAUGCAAUUGUUGCCCAUCAUUCAGAAUUUAGGCGGUUUUUAGUGGUUGCACCCCAUGAGAGGAGACUUAAGCCAACGAGAUCAAAGUCGGUUCUACGAGUAUCACAGGGAUAGGGGGCACACCACAGAGGAAUGUCGCCACCUUCAUUACUAAGUGGAGUGGUUUAUUCCAGCGGGGAUGCUUCAACAGUAUGUAGAAAAACCACAUCUGUCUAUAAGGGGAGAUCAAAACCCCUACGCAGCAGCCACAUUCGCAACCAUUAACAGUCACCGAAUGAAGGUCGGUACAUGUGAUACAUGAGGGAUCCGUGAACAAGCAGUGACAGGACAAUAAAAAAACCAAAACUAUGAUAAAUGCAGUAGAAUGAGCGACAUCCAUUAACAACAUUUAAUAUGUCUUCACUCCUAGAAGCGUCCUCCCCAGCAAAAGUUUAACGGUCUAGGAGUAACUGCAAAGCACCCGACAAAAUAUUAAAGGCCUAGGGUGCCCACAAAGCACUCCACCAAAAACUAAUGGCCUAGGAGUGCCCGUAAAACACCCGAAAAAAUAUUAACAGCCUAGGAGUGCCCGCGAAUCACUCUACCAACAACUAACGACCUAAGAGUGCCUACAAAGCACCAACCAAGCCUUAGGCCACGAAGCAUUUUGUUAAGCCUAACAUAAUGCCCAUGAAUAAUUCAACCAAGCCUAAAACAAUGCCCAUAAAGCAUUUGGCCAAGCAGAAAAGAAUGCUAGUGAAGUAUUCGACCAAACCUAAAAGAAUGUCCAUGAAGCAUUUGGCCACAAAGAAUGCCCACAAAGCAUUCCACCAAACCUAAAAAUAUGCCUAUGAAGCAUUAAGCUAAGCCCAACAGAAUGUCUGCAAAGCACUUGGCCAGACCGCCAACAAAAAGCUGAUGAGUGCCCAUGAAGCACUCGACCAUAUCACAUGAACUUAGCGGCUUAGGUAUACCUACAAAGCACUUAGCCAUGCCACUAGAAAAUCGCCAAGAUGUGCCCAUGAGGCACCCAGAUCUUGCGGCUUAGGUGUGCCCACAAAGCGCCUAGCUAAGCCACACAUGCCUUGUAACCUAAAAAUGACCAGAAAGCACUGGACUUGUAGUACUCCUAAACACCCAACCAGACCAAAACCAUUAACAACCAAUCGACACACAAUCAAAUUACAACCCAAAAACAAACACCCAAUAAACUUAGGAAAAUACAGAAAACAUAUUGCAAAUAUCCAGUGAAGUCCAAAAAAGUAUCGCACAUAUCCAUUACAUAAAAAAUGUCCAUAACCAAAAAUGGGGAAGAUUCCCCCCACAAUUCUCUCAUGCAACAACAUCAGAGUAUCGUCGGUAGCCUUCCUAGUCUUGGGUACGUCGCUAGCAGCCCUCUCAACAUCAACCACAUUCCUAGGUGUUGGAGCACUCCUGCCCAUGAAAAAUGACAUAUUGUAUCACCGUCGGAGAAAGAUCAUUUGAGGUGAUAUUCAGGUGAAAGUAUCUGGGGUGAUAUCCGAGUGAAAGCAUUUGGGUAUGGAGAAAACCCUAGCCCAACUAGGAAUGGCAAUGGAGCAGGUUCGGGACAUGUCAUUCCCAUCCAUUCCCGCACCUGAUUAUAUAGUUAUUUCCCAUCCCCGGCACAAACCCAUGUCGAGGCAGGUUGAUUGGUCCCCAUCCUCGUUAACAAAAGAAUUAAUAACCCCAUCCUCGCCCCGUCCCGAAUGUCCAUUGAGCCCUAACCCUAAUUGGUGAUGAGUAGAUCUUAUACCUAAAUGCACUUUCCUUUCACUACAAAAUAACGAGAUUAUGAUAAUAUACCAAAUAUGAAAAAAUAAUAUAAAAGUUGAAUUUAACACCACAACAAUCAAUAAUUUUAAGCUCAUAGUUAGUUUAAAUGAUUCAAAAUUAAUGCAAAACAGGAAAAAAAAAAAUCAUCUGAACAAUUUAUAAGAGCAUAGAAUGAACAAUGAACCAAACGAAAAAUGGGUUACUAUCAGCCAUGGAUGUGAAUCCCUCUUCAAGCCAAUCUUUGAACCAAAACUUCAUCAAAUCCACUACUUCAAAGGUUUUCGCGUUCCUUUUGAGUUGUGCUCUCAAACAAAGACUUCAAGGGGAUGCUCUAGAUGAUUGUGUUGCACAUAUUUAGGGCAAGGAGACCGAAGUUUAUAACUAGUUUGAUGUCGCGAUAGAGGAGUUUUGGGCUCUGAGGCUAAACCAAGAGCAAAAUGGAAUUGAUUUCAGAGUAUUUUAGUUUGGUGUGAGGGAGGAAGAAAAAGUGGCAUUGAUCCUGGAGUUAGGGUUUUAGGUAGUGCAUUAGAGGAAGAAGAAGAAGUGGUUGUCGGAAUUAGGGCAAAUGGGAAGAAUGAAAGACAAUGUAUCAGAGGAAAAAGAAGAAGAAGGAGCGGUUGUCAGAAUUAGGGCCCGCAAAUAAGAAAGAAUGAAGUAUAUAUAUACAAGGAGUUUUUUGACAUUUUACUAGUAAUUAAAGGAUAAGUUUGUAAAUUUAUAUCUGGGGUUGGGCGGGGUGGGUUGGAACAAAAUCCAUACCCGUCUCAAACCCGAUUCAAAAUUUUAUAAUAUUUCUAAAUCCGACCUAUACCCAUUUUUUUAUAUUUCACACCUGUCCCAAUAGGGGCGGGGCAAAGCGGGUUACCCGGUUAGCCCACAAAAUUAUUGUCCCUAAGCCUAACUAUCCCAUUUAUAAUGAUGUCAAAUACUUUCGAUCCAUUUUGAUAAUGUCUGUUCAUUUUAUUCGGGUUUAGGUCAGUCAUGUAAACUUGAUUGAAGUCAUUUGACAUAGCCUAACUGAGGCAUCUAGAAAAAGCACCAGUCAAAAGAUGGCUCCCAACUUUGGUAGCAUCUAGAACGUGGCCUUGUAAUAUGUAAGUGGUGUUACAUAAUUUCAGGCGCAUGAAGAUGAACAUAUCAUUGAAGUGCAAAAUAUGCCUCCAUGUGUGCAAUGGUAAAUCAAAAUAAUUGGUUAUGUUAUCAUGGAUAUCAACCUAUAAAAGAGAAAACAAGCCAAUUAUAUGGGAUUAUUCUCUCUUACUCGACAUUCUGUGUACCAACAACACCUAUCUAUAAAGCUUCUCUAACAAAAAAUAAAAAUAAAAAUACAUACAUAUAUAUAUAUAUAUAUAUAUGUAUAUAUAUAUGUAUAUAUAUAUAUAUAUUUCCUUAUUAACCCAAAAAUUGUAAAAGAUUGCAAGUAAUUCCAAAACUUCCAUCAAGCAUAUUAUAUAUAUAUAUAUGCAGAAAAUUGCACAUCAUUGAAAGAUGUCUCAUAUCAUGUCACUCCCCAAGACCAACUCCAAGGGCGUGACGGUCAUUUCACACCUCAAACCCAAAGGCUUAAAGUGUAACCUGACCCAAACAAUUAUUUUAUAACUGGAAGUUACCAAUUACUAAAUACUUGUUUAGAAUAGCGGAACAAAAUUCUAAAAUCUUCAAAACUUAACUUCAAAACUAAGUAUCCAUCAACCAAAAUCCAUUAUCCAAAUAAAUUGUAAACUCAAACAAUUAAAGUGCUAACAAAAAUUUUCAUAAUCUCCAAAUCUCAACUUCAAACUAUCAUAAAAUAAAAAUAAAAAAAUUAAAAGUUCAAUAUCUAAAUAGCUUCCAAAAACCAAAUAAUCCAAAUGAACAUAAACUUAUAAGCUAAUAAUGUCCAAAAAUAACAUCCUAAGCAAAAUCCUAAUGAUGACCAUUCCCCAACCUAGCCAUCACUCCUUGCCCGAACUAAGGGUACCUGAAAAAUUAUCAACAAAGGGGAAUAAGCUUAAAGCCCAAUAAAGAAUAUUAAAACAAUUUCAUGGAUUAAAUAGUUUCAAUUAUACUUGCAAAUAGGAGAUCUAGUGUAAAAUCAUUUUCAUAAGAACGUUUGAGUACAGAUAUGCUAAUACAUUUGAAGGUGUUUAACAAAAUUUUUUCCUAUAUAUCAAAUCAUUUCAUAUCCAUUUCAAAUCAAAUACAUUUCAACUGUUUUCACUCUUAUUAUCAAAUAACAAAUAGUGCCCAUUUAAGUGGGACUUUACAAAUAGGUGGCUAGCCUCAGAUGUUCAUUUUUAAGGUGGACGGAACCAAAUACUAAUACAAUAAUAUAUUUGAUCCAUGCUUAAAAGCAAAAUUAACAAUUACACAUUUCAAACAACAUAUAUAUAUAUAUAUAUAUAUUUUCUUUUGCAAAAUCUGUAUUAAUUUCCCUUACCUCAAAAGAAGUCUUCAAAAACUUGGGAGAAAAAUCAUUCAGGAAAAUCUACUCUUCACCUAACAAAGUAUAAGAGAAAUAAUUAUUACUAUUUAUCUAAAAUUACAGGUUUGACAAUUCUAAAAUUUUAGGUAUUCAAAUUAAUGUUUUUAAUUAUGAAAGAUAAUUUAAUCUAUUCCUAUUUUAGAAAAAUUAAUAAAUUUCUAAUUCAUAUAAAACUUAAAUUUUAUUUUCAAUUUAUUUCUUUCUUAGGGCACAACAUAAUUUAAUUAAACUACAAUUUAUUCUACUAAUUAAAUUUUAUGCUACUUAUUAACUUACCCUCAUCAUUAGUAUAAUAAUAUUGAUAACUUCUAUUCUCUUACUUUCAGUUUUUUUUUCCACUAAACAUAAACUAUAUCCCCGACAAUUCUCCAUUAUUGCUAACAUAAUAUAAUAUAUAUAUUAACUAUCAAACACCAUCCGUACACAUUUUCUUUUAUUAUUAAUAUUACUAUUUUUUUUUCUUUUCCCCAUUCUUCAUCUUCCACAAGCACACAUUCUUAUUUCUUUCUUUCUUUUUUUUUUUAAAAAAAAAACUUCCUCUAAUGCACACGUGUUCUCUUUCUUUCUUUCUUUCUUUCCUUUUCUAAUCCCUUAAGCCACAUAUAACAAUAUAUUUAUUUACUCAUUUAUUUAUUUAUUUUUAAAAAAAUUCAUUACUUAGAUCUAUUCAUCUAAGAAAUUUUGAAUUUCCUUAUUUUUAUCAAUAAAACAAUCUAUAUUCCUAAUUUCAAUAUUUUGACCUAAAAGUUUUAAAUAGGUUAACCCUAACCUAAAUCGAAAUCUUCCGGAGAAUCAAUUUUUUUUUUUAAAAAAAAAACUUAAGAUUUCUCAAUUUCUAACAAUAAAACCACCAAUAAUCCUAAAUUUCCAAUAUUUUGACAUUAAAACGAAUUAAAAAAAAUAAACUAACCCUAAUCUAACUAAAUUUUUUUUUUCAAAGAAUAACUAGCGUAUUCAGAACUAACUAACGAAUAUAAUAUAUUAAUUUAAGGUUAGAAUUUUACUUGGAAAAAACCUGAACUUCAACUCUGAAUCUCUAACUCUUGAGCCAUACGAUAUCCAAUUCUCUACUUCUUGUUGAUAAGGUUUUCUGAAUGGAGAAGACAAGAGGAAAAGUCCAAUUUAUACCUAGGAUUUUUAAUUGUAAAAGGACUCUUUCACCCUUAAUGAAUUUAAUUAAUUACUUAAUUACUUUAUAAAUUACUAUUUUACCCCUAGAUUAAAAUUUGGGGUGUUACAUAUCAAGUACUUAAGUCGCUACUUCCAACUGGCUGGCAGCAAAAGCGCAAGUUCAUGGUGAGUUCUCUCUAUAUCCCAUAUAUCAUUGCUUUAAUUAUUAAAAAAAAAAGGUUUAGCGAUAAAGUUCAUAUUAUAUAUUAUUACAAAAAAAGGUCUUGUAAUUAGUUGUGUGUUUUAUUUUUGUAAUUCCUGAGAUCUUGUUAAAGUAUGAGAGAUAUGGAGACAGUUUGUUAUGUUUCCUUAGUUUUUUUCCUUAAUAAAAAGAAACUAAAAUUAAGUUGACAAAAGAAAAGUGUAUUCAAAUAAUACAUAAUUUAGUAAUAAAUGUUGAAUGAAGGAAAGCAACAAUUUCUAUCUUUCAACAUCCUAAUCAUUUUCAUUCUACAGGGUCGUCCCGUCCAUCGCUUUCUGAAACUGGGUGGAACCUUUGCGGCAUUAAAAUCAUUUAUUUUUGGGAGUAGAAUACCAGAUUGGAUAACGUAUCAGAGCUCAGGGAGUGAAGUAAAAGCAAAGCUACUUCCAAAUUGGUUUAAUUCCAACUUCCUGGGUUUUGCUUUUAGUUUUAUCAUUUUUGGCCACUUCUCUUCGCAUGUUCAUGUUAAAAGCGGAUGUCUCAUUUGAUUGGACAUCUAGUGAUGAUUCUUUCCCCAUUGAUAUCAUGAUUUUCGAUAUGAUUUUCUGUAAGAGAAGGUUGAAGUCGGAUCACAUGUGCCUGUUUUAUGUACCACUUCCCCAAUGGAGGAAUUGCUCUCAAAUCAAGGUAUCAUUUAUGGCAUACUCCAAGGAGGGUAAGAUUGAAAUUAAGAGGUGUGGGGUUGGUCUAGUGUACAAUAAUGAAGAUGGGAAUCACAACAAUCCCCUAAUGAUCCAAUUCAACUCUAUUUCCUCUCCUCCUCCUCCUCCUCCUAGUAAGUCAACCGUUGUCCUUGAAGAAAUCCAUGAGGAGGAACCUACAGGAAAUGGGUGCUCUAGUGUUAAUGGCUCAGAAGAAGAGAAUUCUGAAUACCAUAUUGCUGAUGAGGAGGAGCCCAGUACUGCAACUGCCGGCUCUGAGGAUCACUCUGAAUCAGAUAUCUUUGAAAUGCAGUUAUUAAUGAUGACAUCCCUUGAUUAGGAGAAACAGACCAGACAAAUGCUUAAUAUGCACCCAGAUCUUCCUAUUACAUCUCUUGGUGAGUUAUGUGUUACUUUUCUUUUAUUUUCUUUUCUGCUUUUCUUUCUUUUCUGAUUUUGAGUAGAUUUCUUAAUUAAGACCAAUCUUCCAGAACUUAAUUAACUGGGUUGAUGGAUUGGUGAGGGGAUUAUUCUAGUGAAGGAGGAGGAGCAGAAGCAAAGGCAGGAGAGUAGGGAAAAGGUUUUGUAACAGAACCCAAUCUUCCAGAAUCUAAUUGUUGUUGUAUUGUUUUUCUUCAUUCUACGUAACUAAAGGAUUCAUAGUACUCUAAUUUGUUAGAUUCUUCACUUGAUACAUUUAUCACAGGUUUCACUACAAUGUGAAGUAUCAGUUACUAUGCAACCAAGUGACUGCAUGCUUCAAAACCUCAGCAGAACUCAGAGCCUUACAUUUGAUUGCAUUCCUUUUACUAUCUCCACCUUGCAUCAUACUCCCUAUAUCUCAACAUAUUAAUAAGCUUCAAAACUCAAAUAGAGCCUGCAUUUGAUCUCACACUCUCUUGCUUGGCCUCACUUUUAUUUGGUUAUAAUUUAAAUAUGGUAUUUCUGGUUUGAUUUUCUUUCUCCAUUGUAGAACCGUAGUUUUUAAGUAGGUCAUAAGUAAAUUUGAGCCAUUCCUUUGUUUUUUGAGUUGAUUUCUAUGCCUCACCAUGCAACUUGUUGCUCUUAUUUUAUUUCUAUUUCACAUGUUGUUGGUAUGCUUAAGAAUGAUUGUAAGUGAGAAUUUGGGACUAAAAGGAAAAAAAUAAAAAAUAAAAAACUAAUAGUCAAAAAAUAGAAAAAUGGGAAAGUUGUGCUUUGGGCUUCCCAUCCUAACAUAAUAGCAUUUUCAAAACCCAACAAUGGGAAAUAUGAGAACCAACUUUUAAUAUGAAAAGUUUUAUCAUUUUUGUGCACUCUGAGCCUGCUCCAUCUUUUGUGCCCAAAUUGCCCCUCCGUUUCUCCAACUCAGAAUCCUCAACAUCAUCCUAACCUCCAUAUCACUCUUUCUCAUUUGGAAGCUUUCUCUCAUCUUUCUUCAUUUCCGAAUACCCAAAAUCUCUCAUUUCAGUUUAGAAACCCAAAUCCAAAACUCCAAGACGAUGUCAAAAUGCAUUUUUUUGGCUCAUCUAGGAGCCAUGGGAGUCCAAGAGAAUAUGAGAAGAAUGAAAUGGAGCUCGGGUGGAGAGAGUGGGUACCCAAAAAUCGAAACCCUAACCUCCAAAUGUGUCCUAGACUCGCAAAUUUGUGUCCAAGAUAGCUCUAUAAGCAAGAAAUAGCACCAAACAUCUCUCCUAGACCAUUAAAUCUGCGAAGCCCUUGAAGAACCAAAGGAAAUGGUGCAGAAAAUGAAGCACAAUAGACUCUUAAAGUAUUGGGUCCCGAUGAAUCGGUCAACCGGUCCUCAAUCGGUCAACCGGUUCUCGAUCGGUGACUAUACCUUAGAUACUACCUUAACUGACCUUAGGUACUACAUUAAUUAAACUUAGGUAUUACUUGUGUGAAGCCUCAAAACUUCAUUUAUGGAUAUUACUUACUUCAUUUAUGACCUUUAGAGCAUGUCAUUUUGUGAUUAAUUAGUGUGAUUAGUUGGUUUAACUUUGGUAUUUUGGUGACUGUAUCUUAGGUACUACCUUAAUAGCCCUAAGGUACUACAUUAAUCUACCUUAGGUACUACCUUAACUGACCUUAGGUACUACCUAAGUAAAACUUGGGUUCUACCUAUCUGAAGUCUCCGAACUUCAUUUGUGGAUAUUACUUACUUCAUUUAGCAAGAAAGAUAAAUAUUCUAUGUGAAAAAAAUUUAUGAGAAAAAGGAGAUAGAAAUGUGAAGAGAGACACUUGAUGAAAUAAGAAAACUCAUUACAGUAUAGAUGUAAGAAUGAGUAAAAACCACCUAAUAGAGAUACAAAGGUGAAGAUGAAGAUACAAAAAAUCCAUCAAUCAAGAAACUAAUCUUAGGGAAUUAAGCUCACAAAAAAUAUCUAUGUGACCUAAGUGGAAAGUGCCAAGGUGAAUUAAGUGGAAACUAAACCAAGAGAUAUCCAAGUGAUGAAAAAAUGGGCCAAGUGACUUAAGAGUACACCUAAUGGGCCAGCUGCAUCUAAAUGGGCCUAGGGUGACAAGAACACCAAAAAAACCAAUCGAUCGACCCGGUUAAGAAAAAGUCUCAAAUUUCGAUAGAGUGUCCCUCGAGGAAUAAGGAAUCCAACAAAAAAAACAGGUGAGCAAUUCCGAGCUUGGAUGAAGGAGAAAUAACUAAAACAAGCCAGAGUGCUCCCGACUUGGAUGGGCUUUAGCGAACUUCAACUGAACUAUAGUCUUUAUGAAGACCUUAACUUCUAACCUGUAGUAUGAUACAAACCAAGGAAUUGACCAUGAUGACAUUUCAUAAUAGACCAAAUGCUCGCACUAAAUUGAACCAUAGGUGGACUCACGUGAUGUCCAAAAACCGAUUAACUCCAACAAGAGCCCCAUGGCCAUGACAUACAAAGGUUGGGUGCGGGCAACACCCCAAGAUACAUGCAAGUGUCAAGGGACAAAAUUGAGGGUCUAUAGUAGGAAUUUGGAGUAUGAGCGGAAUAGGGAAAACAACCCUUGCUAGUGCUAUUUACAGAAAAAUCAGUGGUCACUUUGAAGUGUGCUGUUUUUUUUUAAAUGUUGAGGAGGAUUUGGAAAAUGAGGGUUUAAUAAGAUUACAACAAAAGUUUCUUGCUCAACUAUUGGAGGAAUCAAAUCUAAAUAUUAAGGUCCUUACAUUUAUAAAGGAAAGGAUCCACUAAAUAAAGGUCCUUAUUGUUCUUGAUAAUGAGAAUGAUCCAAUAAUAUUGAAAUGCUUCGUUGGAAAUCGGGAGUGGUUUGGUCGAGAUUUAAUUAUGAUGAUGCUCAAAGGUUCCUUUCACAUUAUUUGUUAAAACAUGAAAUUCUUAGAGAUUAUUUCAUGGAACUUUCAAGAGAAGUAAUAGGUUAUGCUCAAAGCCUCCCAUUGGCUCUAGAAGUUUUAGGCUCUUUUUUAUUUAGCAUGACCAAAGAAGAAUGGAGAAAUCAAUUAGACAAAUUGAAAAGUACCCCUAAAAUGAAAAUUCAAGAAGUACUUAAAGUAAGUUAUGAUGGGCUAGAUGACAAGGAGAAGAAUAUAUUUCUAGACAUUGCAUAUUUCUUUAAAGGAGAGAAUAAAAAUUAUGUAAUGGAAAUACUAGAUGGUUGUAGCUUCUUCUCACUUAGUGGAACACGAGCUCUCAUUGAUAGGUCACUCAUAACCAUUUUUUUCAAAUAAGUUGAUGAUGCAUGACCUAAUACAAGAAAUGGGUAGGGAAAUUGUUCAUCAACAAUUCCUUGAAGAGCUUGGUAAACGCAGUAGAUUAUGGUUCCAUGAAGAUAUCUAUGAUGUAUUGAAAAAAAAUAUGGUAAGAGCAAAAAAUAUAAAAUUUAUUUUUUGUAAACAAAUUAAGAUUAGAAAUCAAGAAUUAUUUUCAUUUAAAUAGUUAUGUGUCGAUAAAUUUUAAUCGAAAGAUACUCUUUGGAUAGAUACCCAUAUUUGCAUAGAUACCCUUUGAGAUCACUACCUAAUGAUUUUAAUCCAAAGAAUCUUGUUGACCUUUUCAUAUCUUAUAGUCACAUUAAAAAACUUUGGAAAGAAACUCGAAAUGUCUGGGGAGAGGAAAGGUUCCUUUUUUUUUUUUUAGGGUACUCCCGGGAACAGAUCCAGUGGAGACGGGGUGGGGCCUGUAGCUCAGAGGAUUAUGAUGUAUUCACAUUAUUUUCUUUAGAGACAUGUAACCUAAGUAACCUAACCCACACACCCAUUUCUAGUUUGUGAACUUGCUUUGUUGUUUAAGGAGACACAUGAUUUGUUCUCUUAUUUUGUUUUUACUUUUAAAUAUAAAUAAAAUAAACUGUAACCCCAAAACUCAAUUAAAAAAUUAGUUUUGAAAGACAAAUUUUAUUACCAUCCGAGUCUUGCUAUCGAGUGGGAUGUGUGAAAAAAAUAUUGGUUCCAAUGCAUUCACUAUUCAAACCAAACACUUUGCCUAAAUUUCCUUUUGGGUUUAUUUAUAAGUUUUCCUUAUUUUUCUAUUUGGAUCAUAUUUUGUACAAGAAUUUCCUAUUAUUAUAAAAUAUAAAAAAAAAAGUGCCAUAGUGAUGUUUUAUUUACAAAAAUAUGUUCAUCCCUUUAUAAAAUAUUCCUAUGUUGAUAUGUACUUAUAAUAUUAUAUUUCAUUAUACUCAUAAAAUUAGAUUUCAUUGUACGAUAAGGAAAAUUGUUAAAAAUAUUAUAUAAAUAUUAUAAAUUAGGAGGGAAACGGAGAUGAUCAUAUAAAGCUUAUACCGAGUAGGUAUACACAGGAGAAAAAAAUAAGACACUAAGUGGAGUGAAGGCUCAUGGUUCAAGGUGUAGGUACAAAGAUGAGGAGACUUUGCUGCAAUGCCCUUCAACUUUGGGUCAAGCUUGGAUUUCUGCAAUGAUGACUGGGUCAAGGUAGACUUUCACUUCAAGAUUGACCUUCGCUUGAACCUCAAAAGCUGAUUUAUCUUCUUCAACCUUUUUUAUGCAUCCAAGUUGUGCAAAAGCAACAUAUUUAAUGCUUCAAUACUGCCUUCAUCCAGGUUGAAAAUACCCCUUUGUGAAUUUUGCCUAUGGGACUGGGACCAUAAACCAAAGCACAAGUUACGUUAACUGCCGAAGCAGUCGAUUAAAUUCCUAAUUUUAAACACUACAUAAGGGAACAAGAAAUUCACCUAGAAGGGAACUCUGCCAUUUCCUUGGGGAGACUAAAUCUCUGACUUUCAACAACCCAUUGUAAAUAAUCAUCCUGGAAUAUGAGAAAGCAAGAAAAAACAUUCAGCCAAAAAACUGCAACACCAACACCACAACUAGUUUGGAUGUAGUGGUGGAAAGAAAAGCAUCAGUCAUUUGUUGACCUUGCCCUAAGAUAAUGCCAAGAACUUGUCUUUCUGCUUCACCGGGCUCAAUUGCAUGAGCAGCCAAUGCACUUAAUGCAGCCUGACAACUCAAAUAGUUUGAAACAGUAUUUAUGUUCAGCGGUGGACUAUAACAAGAAUGAAAAAACAAAAAAGAAAAAAGCAAUAAACUGGCAUGUGCAAAAUGCCACCUACUAUGGGAGUUCAAGAGAUCUGCAUAAGGUGCAACUGCAGUGUGAAGGCUGCAAAAGGCCACAUUCCAUCAUCCUUUCUUCGAUUUGCAUUUUUCGAUAUGUAAAUACAGAUCAAAGCAUCUUACAAAUACAGGAGGCCAUGAUCAAAAGACAUAAAAGCAGCAAAUAAAGGAAACAAAGGAACUCUUACCAAUCAAUCCAGACUUUGCAGUAGAUUCUCUAACGAAAAAGCCCUCACUGGACUUUUCAAUAGGGAAAGAGUAUACAAGGACCAAUGGACCCAGAGGAUGAAGAAAGUAUUCCAGCAAAGAGACUCUCACUGGAUUCUUCAACUGGGAACAAUGUUCAGGAAGAAGGAAACAGGUACCAAGUGAUACAGACAGCGAAGAAAGCAGUUCAACGAUGAUGCAUUCAGAAGGCUCUUCAACAGGGCAGAGUGCACAAGAAGCAGAAAAACUGAAACCAAUGGACUUGGAUUCUACAGAAGGCACUCCAUAUACAGCAGGCUCUUCAUUUUCAUUUUAUGCAGUAGUUUUAGAUUCAUAUGAUGCCAUAUUAGGAUUUGAAUCCAGGUCCCUGUACGUUUUUCCAUUGGUUGUCAAACUUGGGUUCUACCUUAGGUACUACCUUAACUGACCUUAGGUACUACCUAAGUAAAACUUGGGUUCUACCUAUCUGAAGUCUCCGAACUUCAUUUGUGGAUAUUACUUACUUCAUUUAGCAAGAAAGAUAAAUAUUCUAUGUGGAAAAAUUUAUGAGAAAAAUGAGAUAGAAAUGUGAGGAGAGACACUUGAUGAAAUAAGAAAACUCAUUACAGUAUAGAUGUAAGAAUGAGUAAAAACCACCUAAUAGAGAUACAAAGGUGAAGAUGAAGAUACAAAAAAUCCAUCAAUCAAGAAACUAAUCUUAGGGGAUUAAGCUCACAAAAAAUAUCUAAGUGACCUAUGUGACCUAAGUGGAAAGUGCCAAGGUGAAUUAAGUGGAAACUAAACCAAGGAGAUAUCCAAGUGAUCAAAAAACGUGCCAAGUGACUUAGGAGUACACCUAAUGGGCCAGCUGCAUCUAAAUGGGCCUAGGGUGACAAGAACACCAAAAAAACCAAUCGAUCGAUGCGGUUGAGAAAAAUUCUCAAAUUUUGAUAGAGUGUCCCUCGAGGAAUAAGUAAUCCAACAAAAAAAAAACAAGGUGCGCAAUUCCGAGCUCGGAUAAGAGAGAAAUAACUAAAACAAGCCAGAGUGCUCCCGACUUGGAUGGGCUUUAGCAAACUUCAACUGAACUACAAUCUUUAUGAAGACCUUAACUUCUAACCUGUAGUAUGAUACAAACCAAGGAAUUGACCAUGACGACAUUUCAUAAUGGACCAAAUGCUCGCACUAAAUCUAACCAUAGGUGGACUCACGUGAUGUCCGAAAACCGAUUAACCCCAACAAGGGCCCCAUGGUCGUGACAUACAAAGGUUGGGUGCGGGCGAUACCCCCAAGAUACAUGCAAGUGUCAAGGGACAAAAUUGAGGGUCUACAGUAGGAAUUUGGAGUAUGAGCGGAAUAGGGAAAACAACCCUUGCUAGUGCUAUUUACAGAAAAAUCAGUGGUCACUUUGAAGUGUGUUGUUUUUUUGAAAAUGUUGAGGAGGAUUUGGAAAAUGAGGGUUUAAUAAGAUUACAACAAAAGUUUCUUGCUCAACUAUUGGAGAAACCAAAUCUAAAUAUUAAGGUACUCAUAUCUAUAAAGGAAAGGCUUCACUCGAAAAAGGUCCUUAUUGUUCUUGAUAAUGAGAAUGAUCCAAUAAUAUUGAAAUGCUUGGUUGGAAACCAGGAGUGGUUUGGUCGAGAUUUAAUUAUGAUGAAGCUCAAAGGUUCCUUUCACAUUAUUUGUUAAAACAUGAAAUUCUUAGAGAUGAUUUCAUGGAACUUUCAAGAGAAGUAAUAGGUUAUGCUCAAAGCCUCCCAUUGGCUCUAGAAGUUUUAGGCUCUUUUUUAUUUAGCAUGACCAAAGAAGAAUGGAGAAAUCAAUUAGACAAAUUGAAAAGUACCCCUAAUAUGAAAAUUCAAGAAGUACUUAAAGUAAGUUAUGAUGGGCUAGAUGACAAGGAGAAAAAUAUAUUUCUAGACAUUGCAUGUUUCUUUAAAGGAGAAGAUAAAAAUUAUGUAAUGGAAAUACUAGAUGGUUGCAGCUUCUUCUCACUUAGUGGAACACGAGCUCUCAUUGAUAGGUCACUCAUAACCAUUUUUUCAAAUAAGUUGAUGAUGCAUGACCUAAUAAAAGAAAUGGGUAGGGAAAUUGUUCGUCAACAAUUCCUUGAAGAGCCUGGUAAACACAAUAGAUUAUAGUUCUAUGAAGAUAUCUAUGAUGUAUUGAAAAAAAAUAUGGGAAGAGCAAAAAAUAUAAAAUUUAUUUUUUGUAAACAAAUUAAGAUUAGAAAUCAAGAAUUAUUUUGAUUUAAAUAGUUAUGUGUUGAUAAAUUUUAAUCGAAAGAUACUCUUUGGAUAGAUACCCAUAUUUGCAUAGAUACCCUUUGAGAUCACUACCUAAUGAUUUUAAUCCAAAGAAUCUUGUUGAUCUUUUCAUAUCUUAUAGUCACAUUAAAAAACUUUGGAAAGAAAUAAAUGUAUGAUUAUGAUGUAUUCACAUUAUUUUCUUUAGAGACAUGUAACCUAAGUAACCUAACCCUCACACUCAUUUCUAGUUUGUGAACUUGCUUUGUUGUUUAAGGAGACACAUGAUUUGCUCUCUUAUUUUGUUUUUACUUUUAAAUAUAAAUAAAAUAAAUUGUAACCCCAAAACUCAAUUAAAAAAUUAGUUUUGAAAGACAAAUUUUGUUACCGUCCAAGUCUUGCUAUCGAGUGGGAUGCAUGAAAAAAAUAUUGGUUCCCAUGCAUUCCCUAUUCAAACCAAACACUUUGCCUAAAUUUUCUUUUGGGUGUAUUUAUAAGUUUUCCUUAUUUUUCUAUUUGAAUCAUAUUUUGUAAAAGAAUUUCCUAUUAUUAAAAAAAAAAAAAAAAGUGCCAUAGUGAUGUUUUAUUUGCAAAAAUAUGUUCAUCCCUUUAUAAAAUAUUCCUAUGUUGAUAUGUACUUAUAAAAUUAGAUUUCAUUGUACGAUAAGGAAAAUUGUUAAAAAUAUUAUAUAAAUAUUAUAAAUUAGGAGGGAAACGGAGAUGAUCAUAUAAAACUCAUACCGAGUAGGUAUACACAUGAAAAUAAGACACUAAGUCGAGUGAAGGCUCAUGAUUCAAGGUGUAGGCUCAUGGUUCAAGGCUCAUGGGCCUGGGACCAUAAACCAAAGCACAAGUUACAGUAACUGCCGAAGCAGUCGAUUAAAUUCCUAAUUUUAAACACUACAUAAGGGAACAAGAAAUUCAGCUAGAAGGGAACUCUGCCAUUUCCUUGGGGAGACUAAAUCUCUGACUUUCAACAACCCAUUGUAAAUAAUCAUCCUGGAAUAUGAGAAAGCAAGAUAAAGCAUUCAGCCAAAAAACUGCAACACCAACACCACAACUAGUUUGGAUGUAGUGGUGGAAAGAAGAGCAUCAGUCAUUUGUUGACCUUGCCCUAAGAUAAUGCCAAGAACUUGUCUUUCUGCUUCACCGGGCUCAAUUGCAUGAGCAGCCAAUGCACUUAAUGCAGCCUGACAACUCAAAUAGUUUGAAACAGUAUUUAUUUUCAGCGGUGGACUAUAACAAGAAUGAAAAAAAAAAAAGGAAAAAAAAAAAAGAAAAAUGCAAUAAACUGGCAUGUGCAAAAGAUCUGCAUAAGGUGCAACUGCAGUGUGAAGGUUGCAAAAGGCCACAUUCCAUCAUCCCUUCUUCGAUUUGCAUUUUUCGAUAUGUAAAUACAGAUCAAAGCAUCUUAGAAAUACAUAAAAGCAGCAAAUAAAGGAAACAAAGGAACUCUUACCAAUCAAUCCAGACUUUGCAGUAGAUUCUCUAACGAAAAAGCCCUCACUGGACUUUUCAAUAGGGAAAGAGUAUACAAGGACCAAUGGACCCAGAGGAUGAAGAAAGUAUUCCAGCAAAGAGACUCUCACUGGAUUCUUCAACUGGGAACAAUGUUCAGGAAGAAGGAAACAGGUACCAAGUGAUACAGACAGAGAAGAAAGCAGUUCAACGAUGAUGCAUUCAGAAGGCUCUUCAACAGGGCAGAGUGCACAAGAAGCAGAAAAACCGAAACCAAUGGACUUGGAUUCUACAGAAGGCACUCCAUAUACAGCAGGCUCUUCAUUUUCAUUUUAUGCAGUAGUUUUAGAUUCUUAUCCCACAUCUUUUUCUUCUCUUUCCUUCUGUCACCACAGUCAUAUGAUGCCAUAUUAGGAUUUGAAUCCAGGUCCCUGUACGUUUUUCCAUUGGUUGUCAAACUAAGAUCAUGGAAUUGUGCAUAUUGGUAUUCUUUAGAAUCAUAAAAGAGUAUAAUUUCAUAAUGGUCAUGAAAUAUUAUGAUCUCCUAUCCAAAUAAAGAACCAAACAAACAAAUCAUCCAAAUUAUAUCAAGAAGUAAAUUUUAAAAAAAUGCAAAAUCGCCAACCAUAAUAGUUGCAUCCCAGCCCUAGGUUUUCAUUACUGCAGGAACCCUGUAUCUCUAUUUUCUAUGCAUAGGUUCAACCACAAAGGAGCCUUUGUUUAUCAUCCAAGUAAAUAGGGAAACAACUGAAGAACAUGCUCAACCAGGAAAGCAGAACACUAAUUCUAUAAUAAGAUAGAAAUUACUCCAUCAAAGCUAAUGCCUCUGGAAGAAUAGACAAUCAGAUCCAACAACAGCAGCAAAGCAAAGACGUCAUACCUCAGGGCUUGAAAUCAGCAAAUCAUAAUGCCUCCACACCUCUGAAAUCAGCAUCAUGAAUCCCACCAGAUCUUAGGGCUUACUUUUGGACCUGAAACAUAGAAAUUACUUGGUAGUUAAACGACUCAACACUAUUCGGACUUUUUUAGGAGUAGAAGGCGAUCUGCCGCAGUAUUUGGAGGGCUGCGGCAGAUGAAAAGGGUUUUCUAUUUUUUAUUUUUCACGUCUCCUGCGUUUCCCUUUUGGUUACGAAGGCUAUUCCCUUCAUCCAAAAGAAGAAGCAUAAUAUUCCCAUAACCACUCCCACAAAGAAAAGCAAUCCAAAAGUAAAAGUGGGUUCAGAAUAAGAUAUAGCAUAUUUCGAUGGGUAACCUCUGAUUCUGAGUCAUGGUCACGUCCUCACAUUCAAUGGGUUCCCCCGCAGAGAUUUCUUUAAGGACAAGAGUUGACUCAUUAGGGGAGGAGUAGAGAAGAGAGAAUUGAAAUUCACCUCUUCAUUAACAUACAUUAAACCUAACCCACAUCUCUUAAUUUCAUAAUAGUUCGGCACGGACAUUAUUGCAAAUGUAGCCUUGAUGUGAAUGACUUGAUGCGGACUGAGUGAGGGUUGAACUGGUGCAAAAGUCAGAACCACAUGAUCCCCUUCAGCGAAAACACUAUUUUCCAUGGGGAAAGAAAUACCAGUUUCGAAAGAACGGCGACAUGUGCCAAAGUCCAAGAAAACACGUGCCCAAAACCAAUCAUCAUAAGCGACAGGAAACCGGCCACCGAAGACAAGAGCCAAUGCAAAACCCAGGCAGUUGGUAGACCAAUUUAGGGGUAGGUCUGCUUCAAUUACAUUCCUCGAGCUCUGAUACCUGAUCCAAUCUGGUAUUCUACUCCCAGGAAUCACAACACCGAAUGUAGAAUCCUGCAGAAAGAAAAUAAAUAAUGUCCAUGUUGAGAGAGCGAGAAAUUGCUACUUUCCCAUCUUGAUUCAUUCAACAUUUAUUUUACACUAUCAGUCUAAUUUAGUAAAACAGAACAAAGACUAAAAUAUGAGUUGUCUCCUCAUAUUUCAUACAGGCAAAAGCUUUUUAUUUUUUAUUUUUUAUUUUUUAUAACGAAAAUUGGAUUUAAAGAGAACUCACUAGGGAUUCGAGUUCCCGCGGUCUCAGCAGAGUAUGCACCUUCGUUGUAAGUAGCAAGUUGAGUAAUUCAGUUGUUCCCAACGAUGUGCAAUUUUUUGCAUUUAAAGAACGUAUGCUUGAUGGAAGCUGUGAAAGUGCCUCUAGUCUUUUACAAUUUCCCAACCGAAGCGUUUCCAGGUGAGAGAGUCCACUCAUGUUAGGCAAAGUGACAAAGUUGUUUCCACUUAAAUUUAACCAUUCAAGUGAAACUAAGAAGCCAAGGCCACUAACAUUUGCUCCAUCUGAUAUAUUGCAGUAACUUAAAUCUAGGUUCUUUAAAGAGCAUAAGUUUGAGGAAGAAGGUACCGUGAAACAAAUAGAAUUUGAACUUCUUUUUGGCCACAACCAUGAGGCAGAUGCUGGUCCUUUACAUCCACCGAAAGAUAACUUUUCAAGGUUUCUCAUGGAAAAAAAGGAGGGGGGUAGUACUCUUACCACAAUUCCAUCUGCGUGAAGCUCCUUCAACAUUUCUAAGUUCCCAAAAUUCUCUGGAAAUUCUUCAAAUUUGGAGCAACCAGAAAGAAUAAAGGUUUCAAGAGAUUUCAAACUACAAGUGCUGCUUGGAAGCCUUCUAAGCAUUGUGCAAUUUUUUAAACUCAAGAAAUUUAGCUUCUUCAAAACUCCAAGUGAUGGGUGAACCUUAGGCAAAUUUAUACAACCUUCUAAAACUAGACGUUCAAGGUUGGUGAUCCCUGAGAAAUCUGGAGUUUGUAUUAAGUACUUGGAGUGGCUGAGAUCUAUGGAUUUUAACCUUUCAAGAACCUGUCAUAAAAGAAAGUUAACUUAAAAAUUAGCUUCCCUAUAUAUUACAUACUUCCUAAACAAAAUAACAUGAGUUGUAGAUCAUAACAAUACCUUGAUUCCUUUCCAAAGUUUUUUAAUGUGACUAUAAGGCAUACUGAGCUCAACAAGAUGCUUUGGGCUGAAAUCCUUUGGUAAUGAUUUCAAAGAGUAUCCAUGCCAAUAUAAGUACCUCAAAUCAUUGGAACAAAACUUAAAUUCAUGGGCAAACCGCACUCUACAAUUCACCUUGUUGUUAAAGGUAUCUCUGAAGUCUCUUGAAAUACUCUUAGAAUUAUAGACUUUGAGCAAUCUAAGUUUUUUCAUCCCAGCAAAGGCUUCAAUGGUGAAGUCUAGUGUAUCUUCUAAAUGAGACAAGUUGAGGAAUAUGCCUUCAAUUUUUUCACUUCCCUACAAACCAAGAAGCAAAUUAAGUGAAAAGCAUUCAAAAUGCAAAAAAAUAACUAUAAUUUUAUCAACAUAUAACUACUUAAAAUAAAAUAAUUCUUAAUUUGUUCUACACAAAAUAAAUUUCGUGUUUUAUUUUUCUCUUACCAUAUUUCUUUUCAACACAUCAAAGAUAUCUUCAUGUUCCCACAAUCUACUUCGUCUUUCAGGCUCUUUUGGACAUUCUUGGCGAACAAUACCCUUACCCAUUUCUUGUAUUAAGUCAUGCAUCUCCAACUUGUUAGCAAAAUUAAUAGUUAUGAGAGACUUGUUAAUGAGAGUUUUUAUUCCACAUUUUGCAGAGAAGCCACAACCCUUCAGUAUUUCCACCACAUGAUCUUUGUCCUCUCCUUUAAAGAAACAUGCAAUAUCCAAAAAUAUAUUCUUCUCUUCAUCAUCUAGCCUAUCGUAACUUAAUCUAAGUACUUCCUGAAUUUCUAUAUUAGGAGUACUUUUUAGUUUGACCAAGUAAUCUCUCCACUCGUCUUUGUUCAUGCCAAAUAAAAGAGAACCUAAAACUCUAAGAGCCAAUGGAAGGCCUUUAGCAUAAAAUAUUAUUUCUCUUGAAAGCUCCUGUAAAUCAUUUUCAAGAAGUUCAUAUUUUAACGAAUGAUGUUUGAGGAACUCAAAUGCUUCAUCACCAUUAAAUUCUGCAACCUCAUAAUAAUCAACUUUAUGUUGAAUUAACAAACGUUGAUCCCGAGUAGUUACGAUAAUUCUACUCCCUUGACCAAACCAAUCUUGAUUUCCAGCUAAAUGUUCCAAUAUUGUUAGAUUAUUCACAUUAUCAAGAACAACAAGGACCUUUCUUGAGUGGAGCCUUGCUUUUAUAGAAGUGGAUCCUUUUAUUUUGAGAUUUUCUUCCUGCAAUAAUUGAGAAAGAAGUUUCUCUGCUAAACUAGUUAAAUCCUGCUCUUUGAAAUCAUUUGCAAUUUCAAGAAAGGAGCAAGCUUCAAAUUGGUUAGAAACUUGGCUAUAAAUAGCUCUAGCAAGGGUUGUUUUCCCUAUUCCACCCAUACCACAAAUUCCUACCAUCCGAACAUCAUCUGAUUGUAAACACAAUAGCAUUCUCAGUUUUUGAAUGCGGGACUGUAUUCCAACCAGGUUCUCUUCAGUAUCACUUGUCCAUGUAUUUAACAACUUCUUCAAAAGUUUUAUAACGAUUUCUUUUAUUAGCAGAGGCUCAUUCCUGCAAUAUUUGAACCAUAAACAUGUAUAAUAAGUUUAACUACCCACAAAAAGUUAGUAAGAGUAAAAAAAAAUAGCGGAAGAUGUCAUGAUCAUAUUAGUUGGUCCUAUAUCUAACUUUACAAAAUUCCAAUAAAUUUUUUUUUUGAAUUUUAUGAACUUUAUCCUCUAAUCAAAUAACAUUAAUUAAUAACAGGGUAUUCUUAUAGCCUCUGUAUUAUAAUAACUGACAAGUGAAUUAGCAAGAGCAUUCAAAGAGGCAUAUUUAAAAAUUUAAAACAAAAUUAAGAGAGAAAUAUUACUUGUUCCUUGAAUCCCAGCCAGAUAAAUUUGCAACUUCAGUCAGAGCGUCCCUCCAAAUUUUCACCCUCUCCCCGUUCUCCUCCAAAUUCUCUUCAUGUUUAGCCAAGGCUUCUCCAAAUUUUCCCAUGUGAUUCCGCACAUCUGAUGGAUCCACGUUGUAGAAAAUUGGUAGAACCCUCUCCUCCUUGGAUCUAUUGCAUUCUAGUAUCUUGACCAUCUCCUCCAAGCACCACCUAGAAGAUGCAUAGUUUUCCGACAAAACAAUGAUAGAAAACAUGGAGUUUUCAAUAGCUGUAAUGAGUGCAGGGGAUAUGACUCGACCUUUCUCGAGCUUAUCCUCAUCAAAGAAAGUGUUGAUUCCUUUGGUGCGCAACUCCUGAAGGAGAUGGGCAGUGAAAUUGUUGCGGGUGUCGUCUCCUCUGAAACUGAGGAAGACAUCAUAGCUCUUCUGAGAAGAAGAAAAAGCAGCAGCCAUUGGGAAGUAGCUAGAGAGUUGAAGUCGAAAUUAUCCAACAAAACAAAAGGAAUUCAGAAACACAACGCGAGAGGUCUUUGUAUCAUCAACGAGAAUUGAAUUGAAUAAUAGAGCUAAACCGGGAAGCAGAAAAGAAAAAGUAGCUACAAUUAAAGAACACAGGAGUGAGAAAUCUGAACAAGCGAAUAAGCAACGAUAAUAACUAAAAACAGUGACAGGGUUUGGUGAUGAAUCUGAUGAUGCUGAUACAAUCGAAGCCAAGCCUCACAGCACUGAGCAGUGAGUAGGAGGAAAGCACACGGCAAUUACAAGAAAAGAUGAAAGCCGGCUGAUAUUUGGUAAUGUAGAAUGGUCUUGUUGGGCCACAAGGCCCACAACCACAAGGCAAGCCGCGUAACCGUACUUGGUCGAAAAGGUUAAAAAAAAGUAUACUUCAAAAGAAGCCUCGACUCACCCACCAUGCUCCUGUCCUUUUGCUUUGCUUGUUCUUAGCACUUGUCUAUAUGUACAAUCCUCCGUUCAUCCCGUCAAAAUUUAAUCCAAUGGCCAGAGCCAACAGUACUUGAAUCCAAUGGUCAGGAAUAACCCCAUCUUAAUCCCAUGGCAAGAAAAAAAAUCCUGUUUUAAUUCAAGGGCCAGGUUUCGUCCCUUCUAAUUCAAAGGUUAGAUUUCAUCCCUUUUAAUUAAAAGGACAUAUUUAAUCCCUUUUUAAUUAGUCCAAGGAAUAUAAAGAAAUAUAAAAUCUCACUUUACUAUUGCAAAAAAAAAAAGUACUCUACACUAUUAGCUAUGAAAAAAGAGUUUAAAAAGGGAUAAACAAUUAGCCCAAAAAAAAUUGAAAACUUAAUUGUGGUGGUUUUAGUAUUGUUGAUAAGUUCUCAAUUACACCUAAACUUAAAUAUGAAUAAGUUUCAUUUAUAAAAAUUUUAGUUAAAAUUGAGUUCUCAAUUAGAAUAUUCACUUGCACUUAAUUAUGUUCAAGUUUCACCUACGAAGAACUUAAUUGAGGUUAAGUUCUCAUGUAAAACAUUCACUUAAAAUUAACUAUAAUUGAGUUAUAAUCUAUGAAGAACUUAAUGAAGGUUAAGUUCUCAAUCAAAAUAUUAACUUCAAUUUAAACUACUAUUGGUUUAGUUUCAUUUGUAUAAAUAAUAAUUCAAUUCCUAUUAAGUGCAUUUUAAACAUAGAUAAUUGCAAUAAAACUUAUGAAUAAACAUGUUAUAUUUUUCAUUCCAAGUAAUAAGUUCAUCCAAGUAUUUAAUAGUUUGUGAUUCUAUAAGAUUAAGUCUAUCAUAUUACUAUAAAUUUAUAUAAUUGUUCAUCCAAUAUAUUCACAAUAAUAAUUAACGUUGGACCUGCAUUAUUGGAUUGAAUUAAUCAUGGACCUAACCCCUGAAGUGUAUAUAUAUAUAUAUUAAACUAAUUGAUAUGUGUAUUAUAAUUUGUUUUAUUAUUUCUUAAUAUUUCAUCCAAAAUUUCUAUAUUUUAAAAAGUUGAUAAGGUGAUUUUCUCAAAAACAUUUUUAGAAAAACCACUUUUACUAAAAGCAUUUUAAAUAAAAACACUUAUCAAAUGCACUUUAAAAGUUUGUUUGACAAUACUUUUAGGAAAUAUUUAUAGUAUAAAAAUGUUUUCAAAAUAAAGAAUAAUGUGUUCGAAAAAAUUUAGAAAGUAUUUUUAAAUAAUUAAAAAAUCAUUUACAGUAUUUCUAGAAAAAAAACAUUUGACAGGUGAUUACUAUAAAAAUACUUUCAUUAAAAGUAUUCCAAAUAAAAAUAAUAUUAAACGCACCCUAGAUAAAUUUUUGAUUCUUUGAGAAAAUAUAUUUAUAUAUAUUGGAACAAACAUACAAUUAUAUAUGUUGCAUAUCAACACAUGAUGUAUCUUAGAAAAUAUGGUAUCCUUAUGCAAUGGUGGGGAAGAAAUGAAUAGGUGAUUCAUGCCCAAUUGGUGUCUCAGCUGAUUUGUGUUCAGCUGGUGCUCCUUGAUUGAGGAAGUGAUCAACAAAAUUUAUACCUAUAACACCAUACACUAGGGUAGCAAAUACAAAGCUACUAUAGUAUAGUGGCUCUAGGAUCGUUCACUGGGAAUGAUUUGCAAGCAAUCAAUGAUACCAAUUCCAAGUGAAUUGGUCUUGUUUCAUUUCACGGUUAGCUUAAGGAAUAAAACACAAACUUUGAUUUGUAAAGGUUGAGAUUUAAACUAACUAACUUAACAGAAGUUUGGAAUAAUUUAGGAAGAAAAACAUUCCUUGGAGAUUUAGGUUCACUGGGGUGGUUCCUCAUGCAAAAGACAUGGCUCCGGUCAGAUGGUUCAUUUCCUCGCAUUAGAGAUUCAACUUAGAGUCAAUUCUCUAACCGGUGAUGUACAGAGACUCCUUCAAUUAGAUUUCACUUUAAUUCUCUCAGUGAUGCAACUUGCAAUGGUUCAUGCCUCUCACGAGCACUUACCAUUCAAGGUGAUCUUUAACCUUGGACUUCCCUUCACAAACUCGCAAGAGAUAACUAAUGGAUGUCUCCUAGGAGUCCAAAAGCUUACCAAGUGUUGGUAAUUCCAGAAAAUCCUACCUUGAAGUCACCUACCAGAGGCUCGCAAGGGGUAAACUAGUGCAUUUCCACGAUUGGAAAUCACUUGCCUUACCAAGUGUUGGCCCAGGUGACUCCAAGGUGUUUUAAGUUAACUAAAAACAUUGAAAUCACUAAAGGAUUUCACUUCCUCUUCAUUACUAGCUAAAACCACAGAGCUUUGCAUUCUUGCACUUGGAACCUUCCCCGGCAACCUUAGCUCCAAGGAAUUGGAGGUUUAGUUACUCAUUCUCUGGGGAAAACUCCUCAGAGAAUUCAUAACUUAGAAAUACAAUGAAAAUACAAAGUGAGAAGGUAAGGCAGUAGAAAGAAAAUAGACUUUACUUGCUUACCAAACGUUUACAGAAGGAACUCCUCUCCGAGAACAGGCUCCCGAGAGGUAUAUAUAUCAAAACAAUAUAAAACUAAUUGUUACAAAGAUAUUUGGUCUUUUUACUAACUUAAAAACUAAGGAAUCAUGUAAUUGGUGGUUUACAAGGAGUAUUUUGGGAUUUAGACAACAAAAAUCUAAUGGAAAAUAUCUCCCAAUGUCGGUAGCAAGCUUCGGGAGGCUUCAGGAGCCAUUUCGCAGGAGAAAAGUGGUGUCUGCGAAAUUUCGCAGACACCCGAGAGGGCUACGAAAUUUUUUCGCAACACCAAGCUAUCUUCACCAGGCUGCAAAGUGAUUACUACUCAAAAAGUGCUAUUUGAUAGCCUUUAAUUAAUCCUUUUUAACACUUUUGAGUAGUAGUUUAGGCCUUUUAACUCAAUUGGCAUGUUAAGGAUCCUUUAAAGCAAUUUUGAUCACUUUGUGUAAGUUUUGGUGUUUUUGUUAGUAUUUUGAUCACCAAAGCAAGUCAAGAAUGAGGAGAGCUAUGAGGAAUCAUGGGCAAAGCUUAGAAUUCAAUUGCCAAGAGUGAAUCCGGAUUGCAAGGAGAAAAAGCAAAGAGGAUCAGUCAUGGAGCAUAUUCUUGAUGACAGUCGUAUCAGCCACUUUUGGAGCACUUUAUGAAGUCCAAAUGAUGCAAGCUAUAUACCAUUUCAAAGCUCAGGAAGUCAACAAUCCAAUGCUUCAAACGGUGUGUGAUUCGGAAUUGAAACGAAGAAGUUGCAGCCAUUACAAGCCAGACACUCUAAAGUGUUGCGGAAUCAGCCAUGUGUUGCGAGAAUUUCGCAGCACUUUUGUACAGUAAGGUGUUUCUCCUUCUAACGAUGCACGAACCAUGCCGCAAGAAGGGAGCUGGAAACUUCAAGAUGGAAGCCAACUUUGCAGCCUGGUGAAGAUAGCUCAGUCUUGCGAAAUAAUUUCGCAGCCCUCUUGGGUGUCUGCGAAAUUUCGCAGACACCACUUUUCUCCUGCGAAAUGGCUCCUGAAGCCUCCCGAAGCUUGCUACCGACAUUGGGAGAUAUUUUCCAUUAGAUUUUUGUUGUCUAAAUCCCAAAAUACUCCUUGUAAACCACCAAUUACAUGAUUCCUUAGUUUUUAAGUUAGUAAAAAGACCAAAUAUCUUUGUAACAAUUAGUUUUAUAUUUUGUUGAUAUAAAUACCUCUCGGGAGCCUGUUCUCAGGGAGGAGUUCCUUCUGUAACCAUUUUAGAAGCAAGUAAAGGUCUUUUCUUUCUACUGCCUUACCUUCUCACUUUGUAUUUUCAUUUUAUUUCUAAGUUAUGAAUUCUCUGAAGAGUUUUCCCCAGAGAAUGAGUAACUAAACCUCCAAUUCCUUGGAGCUAAGGUUGCCGGGGAAGGUUCCAAGUGCAAGAAUGCAAAGCUCUGUGGUUUUAGCUAGUAAUGAAGAGGAAAUAAAAUCCUUUAGUGAUUUCAAUGUUUUUAGUUAACUUAAAACACCUUAGAGUCACCUAGGCCAACACUUGGUAAGGCAAGUGAUUUCCAACCAUGGAAAUGCACUAGUUUACCCCUUACGAGCCUCUCGUAGGUGACUUCAAGGUAGGAUUUUCUGGAAUUACCAACACUUGGUAAGCUUUUGGACUCCUAGGAGACAUCCAUUAGUUAUCUCUUGCGAGUUUGUGAAGGGAAGUCCAAGGUUAAAGAUCACCUUGAAUGGUAAGUGCUCGUGAGAGGCAUGAACCAUUGCAAGUUGCAUCAGUGAGAGAAUUAAAGUGAAAUCUAAUUGAAGGAGUCUCUGUACAUCACCGGUUAGAGAAUUGACUAUAAGUUGAAUCUCUAAUGCGAGGAAAUGAACCAUCUGACCGGAGCUAUGUCUUUUGCAUGAGGAACCACCCCAGUGAACCUAAAUCUCCAAGGAAUGUUUUUCUUCCUAAAUUAUUCCAAACUUCUGUUAAGUUAGUUAGUUUAAGUCUCAACCUUUACCAAUCAAAAUUUUGUGUUUUAUUUCUUAAGCUAACCGUGAAAUGAAACAAGACCAAUUCACUUGGAAUUGGUAUCCUUGAUUGCUUGUUCAUCAUUCCCAGUGAACGAUCCUAGAGCCACUAUACUAUAGUAGCUUUGUAUUUGCUACCCUAGUGUAUGGUGUUAUAGGUAUAAAUUUUGUUGAUCACUUCCUCAAUCAAGGAGCACCAGCUGAAUACAAAUCAGCUGAGACACCAAUUGGGCAUGAGUCACAAAGUUGGCUUCCAUCUUGAGGUUUCCAGCUCCCUUCUCGCGGCAUGGUUCGUGCAUCGUCAGAAGGAGAAACACCUUACUGUACAAAAGUGCUGCGAAAUCACUUCGCAACAAAAGGGUGAUUUCGCAACACUUUGCAAAAUGCUUGCUUCAGCUCGGAGUGACUGGCUUGUAAUGGCUGCAACUUCUUCGUUUCAACUCCGAAUUGCACACCGUUUGAAGCAUUGGAUUGUUGACUUCCUGAGCUUUGAAAUGGUAUAUAGCAUGCAUCAUUUGGACUUCAGAAAGUGCUCCAAAAGUGGCUGCUACGACUAUCAUCAAGAAUAAGCUUCAUGGCAGAUUCUCUUCGCUUUUUCUCCUUGCAAUCCGGAUUCACUCUUGGCAAAUGAAUUCUAAACUUUGCCCAUGAUUCCUCAUAGCUCUCCUCAUUCUUGACUUGCUUCGGUGAUCAAUAUACUAUCAAAAACACCAAAACUUACACAAAGUGAUCAAAAUUGCUUUAAAGGAUCCUUAACAUGCCAAUUGAGUUAAAAGGCCUAAACUACUACUCAAAAGUGUUUAAAAGGAUUAAUUAUAGGCUAUCAAAUAGCACUUUUUGAGUAGUAAUCAAUAGGUAGUUUAUAUUUUCCUAAAAGAUGCAUGUGAGAUUAGUUAAAAAAUGCCUCUGCAAAGUUUGCCCUACUUUUGAUGCCGGCUUGCUCACCUACCAAGCAACCUCCUCUCUUCUUGUUUUAAAAUCUUCAAGCAUUUGUUAGAAGAUUCUUAAAAUUAUCUUCUUUUUUUUUAAUAAUAUCAAAUGAUGCACAGGAAUGGAACCCACCAAAAGCCUUGUGCAUGGCCGACGUGUUUGAUAUUUUAGAAUUUCUUUUUAAUAGACAAGCAUUUUCUCGCACAUCGAGUUUUGAAACUCACUUUUUCCUUUUUUAUUUGGUUUUGAAAAUGAGAUCAAAUAUAUGAAUAUUUUAAUUAAGGUUUAUAAAUGAAAUGAAAAUUUAACCUCAUUUAAAUGAAACUUAAUCACAUUACAACUCAAGUUUUCCACAAAUGAGAAGGAAACUUAACACUAGUUAACUUUUUUCUAAUAAAACUUAAUUAUAGUAUAGUUCAAAAUAUCAUUACGGUUGAAAGCUUAACUUUAUUUAGGUUUUUAUUAUUUUUUAUUUUUUAAAUUGAACUUAACUCCCAUGCAAUUAAGGUCAACACCCUAGGAAAUUAAUAAUAAAAAAGUGAAAUAAAAAUAUAAAUAUAUUAUAAAAAAAAGACGAAAUGAAUAUAAUAAUAAAAUAAAAAGAGAAAGUGAUUUUUUUUUUAGUCAAUACAGUUUGGAUGAACACCAAUAAAUGGUGGAUAGAGCAUUAUGAGAUGAUAAUUAACCAAAGUGUCUUGCAAAAAAUAAAGUAAAUUAAAAAUAUAAUGGAUGAUCAUGAAAUGAGAAAGAAGAAAAGUUUGAAGUCACGGUAUUUAAAGAUUUAGCCAUGUAGUGAGAGAGAGUAUGUUGGAAUCAAUGUUAGAGUGAAAAAGUAAAAAAAUGUUUGCAAGAUAAAUGAGUAGAAAAAAAAAAGAGCAAAAUAAAGGGAAUACGGUGCUUUUGGAGGAAAACAGUUUAAAAUGGUAAAAUAAUCCAAAAUAUAUCAUCUUUAAGCAAAAUUAAGGAAGAAGGUCAUUCUUACCAUUUGAUUAUUAUUUUAGCCUAUCAAACUAAAUAACCCAAAAAUAAAAUUCUAGAAAAACCAAUCAAUCGAUCAAUUUCAUCAACCGUUCUUUUAAUUUCAACAUUAAAUGAGAAGGUGUCUGGUUGGCUAUCCAACCACUCUAGCUUUAAAAAUAUAGUCGGCAAGUCUACCAAUAAAUUCUUAAUGGCCCAACCACCUCACUAUAAAUAAAUUAUACAAAAUAUUUAUGAAAUAAAUAAUAAACUUUAAUUUAUACAAAAUGUUUAUACAAAGUACUCUCAGCUUAUUACAAUUAAUGUUUUAAUACCCUUCAUUUAAAAAUAAAUUAUUUUUUAGUAUGUUUAGAUAAAAUAAGUGGGUCAACAAUGACCCUUCUUCUUCAAUGAUCUUACAUGCAUUUAAUUUACUUGUUGCAAAAUCCACUUGCUCAUUUAAUACACUGCAAGUAUUGCUGAGAGACUUGAUGUCUUCAAUCACAUGUGAAACUACUGCAUGUAUUAUCAUUUUUCACUGUUUUUAGUUAUUAUUAUACUAUUCCCAAUUCUCAUCUUCAGAUUUAUUUUAUUAUUUUUCUUUUUCAAAUAAUCAAAUUUAGUUUUCAGUUUGAUUACUCUUUUGCGACCUUGUCAUUUAGUCCAUUGGACCUUCAUUGGUAAGUUUGAAAAGAUUUGAGUAAAAACAAGUUAGUUUUUUUAUAAGAUAGGAUUGGAUUCGAAGUUUUAAUUGAGUUAAAAUAUGUUAAUUAAUUAAAAAAGAAUUUUAAAUUGAGAAUUAAAAAAAAUCAUCUUUUCAAAUAAUAAAAAUAAUUUGAAAAGAAAUUUUAAAUUGAGGAUUUAAAAUCAAGAUUUUUUUUUAAAAAAAUUCAAAUCUUUUAAGGAAAUUGGAAAAGAAAUUUAAAAAAGAAGUUAAAUUAAAAAUUUUAAAAAGAAUUUUUUUUCCAAAUAUUUUUAAAUUUAAAAUAUGAAAUCUAUCUAAAUCUUUUUAAAACUAUUAAGUUUCUAAAUUAUUUUUUUAAUAAAAUAUGAUUUAUAACUGAUUCCAAGUUUACUAGAUUUUCCCUUAUAAUAUAUAUCUUACCUAAAUGUGUUUUGAGAUGAAUGUCGUAAGAGAGUCGACCCUAACUUGCCCCAUAAUUCCCAAACUCUCAUAAUUUAUUAAUUGAAUUUUGAGUUGUACGUUAGGACCUGCUUUCCCAUAGAAGUUGAAAUGAAUCCAUUUGGAUUUGAGGUGUUGCAUCGUGGAUGUUGAUUAAGGUAUAGAUAUUAGAGAGUAAGUGGUAAAACCAUUAGGUAAAUUUAUAUAUUUUGACUUCAUAUGGUGGAUUAUUAGAUUAGAGGUCUUUAACCCCGUGAUUAUUUAUCUCCAUAAUUAGUGUACGGGUUUUCCUCAUAAAAUCUCUUUUAUCUCUUGUGUGUGAUUCAUUUUUUCAUUGAUUUCUUUCAUAUACUAGGGUUCAAUUGAGUUAAACAAGUUUAAAUCCCUUUCACAUAUUUAAUUGGGUUCAAAAUCUCAAUUCUUAUGUUAUAAUAUUUGAAAAACACUCAUUCACCUCCUUUGGUUGUUAGUCCUUUGGCUUUUAACUUUUUAAGUGAUUAUAAUUAUAUUCUUUGUAGAAUAAGGAAGAUUAGUAAGAAUAUCUUUAUAAAUAUUCUAUGUGAAAAAAUUUAUGAGAAAUAUGAAAUAGAAAUGUGGAAAAGCGAGAGACACUUGGUAAAAUAAGAAGGCUUAGUACACCGUACCGUAGAUGUAAGAAUGAGUAAGAACCACCUAAUAGAGAUAUAAAAGUGAAGAUGAAAAUACAAAGAAAUUCGAUAAUUAUAUCUAUUUUUUGUCCUUUAUUUCUUUUUCUAUCAUAUAAUGAAAUGUUUUAUUUCAUUCAUGGAGAUAGACAUAAUUGACUAUAUGCUAACACAAUAAGUAGUAUCAAAGUUUUAAAAAGAAUUUAAAAGAAAAUAUCCAAGUAAACUUUAUGGGUUUAAUAUGAAUAAAUUAAAUAUACAUUAUUAAUUUUUAUUUCUUUUUAUCUUGUAGUGAAAGUUUGAAUGACUGUCAGCUUUUUUAUGCCAUUUUGGUCUAAACCCACCACUUACUUGGAAAGACCCAUCUUCAUACGUAAUGUGGCAAUAUGUUUGAGAAUAAUUUCAAAGUUUAUUUUCAGCUAAUAAAAUCAAUUUUUAUAAAAAUAUAGCCAAGAGGAUGUUUCAUAUAUUUAAAUAUUAAGUACUUAAUUGUUGAAUUUUAAGUGUUAAAAACAAUGAGUGUUAAAAAUAUUAUCUAAAAUUUAAAUAUUGAAAAAAAAAAAGGGAAAAAAGACAGUGCUGCAAGUUGAAUGUCAUCUAGCUUGGGUUGAAUGGUGAACGCCCUCUCCUCGUCGAAGAAAAACUGCAAAACAAAGCAUGUCGGUGGAAGAAGUCUUUUAUGGCAUAUGCCUUGUUUGUCCAUAGGUGGAUUGGAAAAUAAUUGUGACCGAACGUGUAUGCUGCCUCAAAAUAAAAUCAAAAAUAAAAAAGAAAAGAAAAGAAGAAUUGAAUGGUCAAAUAGGAAAUAGGCCAUACCUUUCCCAGUUCACUUGUCUCAUUUCACUUGUCUCUUUUCCCUAUGAUAUGACAUGCGAAGCCAACAAUGUCAACAAACCCUUUUUUUUUCCUGCUUUGCCUUAUCUUUUCUCUUCUGUCGUUUAACGCGCUUGCCUCCUCACCACUUCUUUUAGCAGAGGGAGGAUUUUCUUGCUUGUAUCAUAGACGACAUCUUUGCCUUCAAUUAUUUCAAGUUUUGUGAGGAGACUUGGCUUCAAUUACAUUCACUUGCCACAGUGUUUAGUUGUUAUCAUUGAUCAUUCUCUUUCCAGAUUUCUCAGGUGUAUUAUUCAAUUAUAGCUAUUUUCAGAUUUGCAGUUCUCUUCGAUAAUACAAAGAGCUGACAUUUUGUCUCAGAAUUUCUUUGGUUUUGUUCAUGAAGUUUUUGGAUUAUAUAAAUCAAUUGUGAAACUUUCUCUUUCCUACAGGAUAAUUCAGACUUGACAACUCAUAUCUCAAGCUUCAUCUCUCUACUACUCGGUAAUGGCUUCUGCGGCUGCUGCUUCUUCUUCUUCUCAAAGGCGCUAUGAUGUGUUCCUCAGCUUCAGAGGAGAAGACACCCGCAAUAACUUCACUGCCCAUCUCUAUCACGCCUUGUGCCAGAAAGGAAUCAACACUUUCAUCGAUGAUGACAAGCUUGAGAGAGGCCAAGUCAUAUCUCCUGCCCUUGUUGCAGCUAUCGAAAACUCCAUGUAUUCGAUAGUUGUUUUGUCGAAAAAUUAUGCAUCCUCUAGAUGGUGUUUACAGGAAUUGGUGAAGAUAGUAGAGUGCAUGAAAAGCAAGAGACAGAUGGUUUUCCCAAUUUUCUACGAUGUGGAUCCCUCGGAAGUGAGAAGACACAGGGGUACAUUUGGGGAAGCAUUGGCUAAACAUGAAGAGAACUCUGAGAACAUGGAGAGGGUGGAGAGUUGGAAGGAUGCUCUCACUCAAGUUGCAAAUUUAUCUGGUUGGGAUUCAAGAAAUAAGUAAUUUUCUUUUCACUCUUAUUUUUAUUUUGUGAAGGACCGGAUACAUAGAAUUCAGAACUUUUUUUGUACAUAAGGGUAGAUUUAAUAUUGACUAUGUCUUCACACAUCUUCUCAUAUUUCCGUUAUUUUUAUUAUCUUUUUGUGGAUAGCUAGACUUAUUAUGUGUUUAUGCUUCAAAUAUGGCAGGAAUGAGCAUCUACUAAUCAAGGGAAUCGUCACAGAUAUUUUGAAUAAGUUGUUAACUACAUCUAUUAGUGAUACCGUAAAUUUGGUUGGAAUAGAUGCUCGCAUGCAAGAAAUAGAAAUGCGAUUAUGUUUGGAGUUUGAUGAUUUUCUGAUGGUAGGAAUUUGGGGCAUGGGCGGAAUAGGGAAAACAACCCUUGCUAGAGCUAUUUACAGAAAAAUCAGGGGUCAAUUUGAAGCAUGCUGUUUUUUUGAAAAUGUUGAGGAGGAUUUGGCAAAUGAGGGUUUAAUAAAAUUACAACAAAAGUUUCUAGCUCAACUAUUGGAGGAACCAAAUCUAAAUAUGAAGGCACUCACAUCUAUAAAGGAAAGGCUCCACUUGAAAAAAGUCCUUAUUGUUCUUGAUAAUGUGAAUGAUCCAAUAAUAUUGAAAUGCUUGGUUGGAAACCGGGAUUGGUUUGGUCAAGGAAGUAGAAUUAUUAUAACCACUAGGGAUGAACGUUUGUUAAUUUCACAUGGAGUACUCAAUUGUUAUGAGGCUCGGAGAUUUAAUUAUGAUGAAGCUAAAAGGUUCCUUUCACAUUAUUUGUUAAAACAUGAAAUUCUUAGAGAUGAUUUCAUUGAACUUUCAAGAGAAGUAAUAGGUUAUGCUCAAGGCCUCCCAUUGGCUCUAGAAGUUUUAGGUUCUUUUUUAUUUAGCAUGACCAAAGAAGAAUGGAGAAAUCAAUUAGACAAACUGAAAAGUACCCCUAAUAUGAAAAUUCAAGAAGUACUUAAAGUAAGUUAUAAGGGGCUAGAUGAUAAGGAGAAGAAUAUAUUUCUAGACAUUGCAUGUUUCUUUAAAGGAGAGGAUAAAGAUUAUGUAAUGGAAAUACUAGAUGGUUGCGGCUUCUUCUCACUUAGUGGAAUACGAGCUCUCAUUGAGAAGACACUCAUAACUAUUUCUUGGAAUAAUAAGUUAAUGAUGCAUGACUUGAUACAAGAAAUGGGAAGGGAAAUUGUUCGUCAACAAUCCCUUGAAGAGCCUAGUAAACGCAGUAGAUUAUGGUUCCAUGAAGAUAUCUAUGAUGUAUUGCAAAAAAAUACGGUAAGUGCAAAAAAUAUAUAUGAAAUUUAUUUCAUGUAGCACAAAUUAAGAUAAGAAAUCAAGAAUUAUUUUGCUUUCAAUAUUUAUAUGUUAACAAACUUUAGUGAGCUUUUAUGCACUAUGCAUGCUUUUUACUUACUCAAUUUCUUGGCUUGUAGGCAACUGAAAAAAUUGAAGGCAUAUUCCUCAACUUGUCUCAUUUAGAAGAGAUGCUAGACUUUACCACUCAAGCCCUUGCAAGGAUGAAUAGACUUAGAUUGCUCAAAGUCUAUAAAUCUAAAAAUAUUUCAAGAAACUUCAAAGAUAUCUCCAAUAUGGAGAAUUGCAAAGUGAACUUUUCCAAGGACUUUAAAUUUUGUUACCAUGAAUUGAGGUGCCUAUAUUUUUAUGGAUACUCUUUGAAAUCAUUGCCCAUUGACUUCAAUCCAAAGAAUCUUGUUGAACUCAGCAUGCCUUAUAGUCACAUUAAACAACUUUGGAAAGGAUUGAAGGUAAAUUUAUGAUCUACCCAUGUUAUUAUCUUUAGAGAGUAUGUAAUGUUUAUGAAAGCUACUUUUAAAGUCAAGUUUCUUUCAUGGCAGGUUCUUGAAAAGUUAAAAUUCAUGGAUCUCAGUCACUCCAAGUACUUAAUAGAAACUCCAAAUUUUCAAGGAGUCACCAACCUUAAGCGGUUAGUUUUGGAAGACUGUGUGUCUUUACGUAAGGUUCAUUCAUCACUUGGAGAUCUGAAGAAUCUUAGUUUCUUGAAUUUGAAAAAUUGCAAAAUGCUAAAGAGUCUUCCAAGCAGCACUUGUGAUUUGAAAUCUCUUGAAACAUUUAUUCUUUCUGGUUGCUCCAAAUUUGAAGGAUUUCCUGAGAACUUUGGAAGCUUAGAAAUGUUGAAGGAACUUUAUGCAGAUGAAAUUGCUAUAAGAGUACUUCCCUCCUCUUUUUCUUUCUUAAGAAACCUUAAAAUAUUAUCGUUUAAGGGAUGUAAAGGACCAUUAUCUACCUUAUGGUUGUUGCCAAGAAGAACUUCAAAUUCCAUCGGUUCCAUAUUGCAACCUUUGUCUGGUUUAUGCUCUUUAACAACGCUAAACCUAAGUAACUGCAAUUUAUCGGAUGAACCAAACCUUAGCAGUCUUGGCUUCUUAUCAUCGUUGGAAGACUUACAUUUAGGUGGGAACGACUUUGUUACUUUGCCUUCAAC